UUCCGUCUCUCUGGAACUGGGUCAGAGGGUGCUACAAUCCGUCUCUACAUUGAGCAGUACGAGAAGGAUUCAUCCAAGAUUGGGAGAGAUUCUCAGGAAGCACUUGCACCCCUGGUAAUUUACGUUGGAGCAAAGAUGGUGUUUGUGGUUCAUUUUUUCUUUUUGUUUCUUAGUGUUUUUGCUAAACAAAUUUAUCUUUUAUUACAGGUGGAGGUUGCUCUUAAACUAUCGAAAAUGCAGGAAUACACUAGUCGUUCUGCCCCAACUGUUAUUACAUAAACAUAUUCUGUAUGGUUUACUUUCUAGAACUAAACAAUUGAAUAAGUGUACUGUCCUUGCUGGCAGAGAUGAUGAUAUCAAGUUUUCAAUUCUGCAGUCUUUUGUCUGGAGUUGAAGUGUUUUUGUUAGAAUAUAUGAAUGUUAUGCGCCAAUUUCUUCUUCGUUUACCUUUCAUCUUGAAUGACUUGUGUAGACAUAAAUUUCUUGUCCAGAAAUUAAAAUGUUAGCAACAAUCCUAGUAAUUGAUUUUAAUCUUUGAAUGUUACGAUCUCUACCAUUCUUCUUUCAAAUAUAAAGAAAUAUUCGAGUAUAUAGAAAUAUGCAUAAUUUGACCUCUGAGUUCUUCUUGUUUCUUGUCCCUUUUUCUAAAUUAUGAGACUCCUAUUUAUAGUUGUAGGAUGACACGAUAAUAUUUGAUUGGUGAGAAUAUGCCACUUGUACGCAUGAUACAUUUCAUUGACUUUUGAUUUAAUUAGGUUUCGGCUAGGCAGAAUGGGCUUAUUAUUUGUUGCCUAAAUCAAUGGACUAAUCUCAUGAUAUUAGACUAUAAUUAAAUUUAUAUUUAUUGAAAUAUUACAAUUAAUUUAAUUAUAACAAUUCAAAAAUAUCUAUUUGAACUAAUAUAUUUUGAAUUUAUUAUAAUUCUAAUUUCUUGUGGAUUUAAAUUCAGUAAAAAUUUGCUGUAUAAAUAUUUAUUACUCCCUUUGUUCAAUUUGACUUGUUACUGUAUGACCUAGCACACCCAUUAAGAAAACAAUUGCUGAUAUAAGUAUUUUAUCAAACUAUUCUUAUUAAAUGAUGUUUAGUAUUAGGUCUUGGAAAAUAAUUUGGAGAAUAAGUAUUUAAUAUUAAGGGUAAAAUAUGGAAAAAAUAAUUGUCUUUUCUUAAUAUGUCAAUAGUGACGAGUAAAAACAAAAAUCUAUUUUAGGAAUAAGUGACAAGUAAAAGUGAACGGCGGGAGUAUUAUUAUUUAUUUAUUUUGCAUUAUAGUAAUUAUUUCCAAAAAUUUACCUUUAUCAAGAAAUGCACAAUAAUGUGCUCCAUAGAUCUAGGAAUGCUAAUGGGCGGUGCGGAUAUGGGGCACGGUGAAUUGAAGAAAAAACCUAAGCUUUGAAGCUGGUGCGGGAUAGGGACGAGGCUCUCGAUAAAAGCAGAAGUAGAAGUAGAACUCUUGAGUCUCUACUUUCAUUUUCAUUGCAAAAUUCUCCUUUUUCUUCUCCUGCAAUGACCAACAUCUUAUUUUGCUUGUGGAAUUGUGGUCAUCAAUAAUCAAUAAUGAAAAAAAUAUGUGAAUUGACAAAUAUUACUAAUGUAUUAUUUAAUAGAAGGGUAAAAAACUUAAGUACCUUAAUUACUCCUAUAUAGCAAUACUUUUUCCCCCCACUUAUAUAGCAAUAGUUUUAUUUCAAAACUAGAAUUUAUAUUAAAAAAAUUAUAAUAAAAAAGAAACGUAGAAAUAGUCAGCCACGCUUAUCUCCUUGAUUUUCUCCAAUUAUUUUACCUUCCCUGAUUUACUCAGAUUUGUUAUAUAUUCUCUCCCAUGAAAAAAAGGUCUUUAACAAAAAUAAAACUCUCUUUCUACUCUGAUUUACCGUUCAAAGAUGGAGGCCAAUAUUUUUUCAAAUUCUAAUACAACACAACGGACGAUGGGACGCAUCAAGUAUUUGAACAACUUACGAUUGAUUUGGUGUUUUUUCUCACAAUUUGUAUUUAGUCGUUGGUUUAAAUUCUAUGUUAUUGUGGUUUAGUAUAAAAUUGAUAUGCUUUGGUAAUAGUCUGGUGCAACGAUUGGCUAGAUUUAUUUCUUUAAUAAACAAUAAAAAUUAUUAAUUGUUUUUAGUAUGUUAUUAGGUUUAAUUGAUAGUGAACAUGAUGGAUAUGAUGUGGUUUAUUGGUAUUCUGUAGUAUGUUUUUAGAAACACCAUUAUUCAUCGUUUUUUGUGUGUGCAAGUGAUGGUAGAUUAUUAUGUGAUAUUGAUAGUGUAGAUAGUUUGGUGUAAUAGAUAUUAUUUAUUGUGUUUUUAUAAACACCAUAGGUCAUAACAAACUGUAUUAUGAAAUUUGUUUUAUGUUGUUUAAAUACAAUGAAAUUAUGGUAUGUUUUUUGGUAACUGAUUUGGUGAAAAUGUAAUUGAUAUGUUGCAUUCCUUAUAUAAACACCAUAAAUCAAUAAUUUGUUUUGGUGUGUGAUAUGUUGUUAUUGGUAUUUUUUUAGACCUUAUACAAAGAACAACUUCAAGUUAGUAUUCUGGUACAUCUAUUGGCGUAUUUAGUUAUCUGAGUUGGUAUAGAUAACAAAUUUUAUACCAUAAUUCUCAAAUUACUUAUGGUAUGUGAUUUGGUGUAAUUAGUAUCUUGUAGACCUUGUAGAAACACCAACUGCAAGUUAUUAUUUUAGUACAUCUAUUGGUAUAUUUUAUUGUCUGACUUGGUAUAGAUAACAAAUAUGGUAUAUAUUUUGAUAACUGAUUUGGUGAAAAUGUUUGUCUAGACCACUAAUUUAUGUCUCUUCAGCCGUUUUGAAUACCAACAUGAUUAGUAGUAAAUAUUUUGGUACAUUUAUUGGUCUCAUAAGUUGUCUGAUUUGGUUUAGCUAACAAAAUUGAAGAAUUAUUAAAUUGGUUAUAAAGCUUAUUGUUGUGAUGGUAAUUUAAUUACUUUAGGAGCACCAUUCUGCUAAUGUUGGAAAUUGAUUAAUAAUUUGCAAUUUUACAGGAAAUUACAUGGAUUAGAAUAUUGAAGAAGUGAUGUAUGAUGCAAACACCAAAUACGAAGACUUAAUUAAUACUUAUCUUCUCAAUUGGGUGUGUACAUGACCAUUUUUUAUUUAGGACUCAAAUAUGUUGUGAGUGGUCCAUCUCCACCAAUGAAGAUUCAUAAAGAUAUGGGUGUCCAAGUUUAUUUAGAUCAAAAGAGAUGCAAUUCUGAUUUCUUUUCAAAGUAUCUCUUAUGUGUAACAUGUGUGGAUAGCGCUAUGGAAGCCAUUGAGUACCAAACUGGAUAUUCCAUCGCAUGUUUUGGAAGCGGUAAUGUAACCACCAAUUGCCAGAAAGCAAUCAGGUAGACCACCAAAUAAUGAUCGUAAGAAGGGAUUCAAUGAAGGAAGAUGCAAGAGAAGUAAAGCCACUUGUAGUAAAUGUGGUACACCCAAGCAUAACAAGAAGACUUACCUCAAAUUUACAGAUCAAGCUUAACAGUAGUGUGUUGUUUUUAUUUUAUUUUUAUUUAAAACAUUAUGUAGUUGAAACUUUUAGUUUUAUGUUGGUAGGAUAAAUCGUAUUAUUGGUGUAUGGAAUGAUAUAAACAUUCAUGUUUGCGAGUUUUUGAUAUUAACUUAUCUUUUUAUGCACAAAUCUAUUUACGUAAAUGGUUAUGAAAUAAUUGUAAAUUUUAACAAUAGAAAACUAUGAUUUCUAUAAUAUUGGUGUAGUAUUCAAGAGUUAUUGUCUAUAAUAUGAUAUUGGUGUAAUUAUCGUUGUAAGGUUGGUGUGUAAUCCUAUCCUUACGAUAUAUACUAUCAAAAUUGCGGAAUCUAAUGCAUACUGCAUUACCCUUGCUACCUUCCAUAUGGAUGUUAGUACAAAUCAUUAUCAAUCAAUUUGGUCAAUACAGUAUUAUUAGUGUCAUUUGCUUGUUGAGUCCUUUUUGAGAGAUGGAAGUCGAUUGUAUCAUCUUUUAUAGGUCAAAAUACAUUUAGAAGGUCCUAUACGGUAGGAACUGUUCUCUAAUAGAAAAGGAAGAAGCGCCAGUUGAGGAACGAUCAGCUGCCCAAAGGUGGGUUGGAUUUAGAGUAUGAUACUAUUGAAAGAAUUGGAUCACAGAUUUUAAUUGGUUUACGAUUUGUAUUCUUUGAAGUAUCUUAAUCUUUCUUACGUAAACCUUUUGAUUCUUAAUCUAUAUGAUCUCUAGCACUGUUCCAGCAUCUAUUGAGCAGCUUCGUGUUUGAAAAUUUUAAAGGUAUAAGAUAACAAUGGUGAAAUCCAGAUGAACAGAAUUCAGAGAGAAUAAGAACAAAGAAGAAUGAAGAAGAAAAAGAAAGAGAGAAGUUUUAAUUUUUUUUUAAAAAUAAAACAGCAUAGGAAGUAAUAAUUUCUUGGAAAACUGAAGAGGUGGAAAGAUAAAAAUAUAUUUAAAAAACUUAGUAAUAACCAUUAAUUGGUGAGAUAAAUUUAAUACAUGAUAAUCAUUCCCCAAAAAUACGCACAGAAUCCCCAAAAAAUGAUAUACUAAAAUCGAAAAUAAAUAAGAAUUAAAAACAAAAAAUUAAUUAAAUAUGCUAUGUCUGUAAUUUAGAAACUUCAUUUGUGAUUAAAUAUAAGUAUGUGUAUAUAUUGUUAAUUAAAGUCUUAAAUAGUAUACUUUUGUAAUUUUCACUUAAUGGAAUUAUAGUUUCAUAUAAUUAUGAAUCACAACUAUAGUUUAAUGAAAUUUUCUAUUAAAUUUGGGAUCCACUAAAUUAAUUUGUAUCAGGAAUGAAAAGAUAUUCUUGCAUGAUUUGUAUACCUUUUAUACAAAACACAAUUUAUCUCUCCUCUCUUCUCAUUGAUUUCUCUUUCAAAAUCUCUCAACCAUAUCAAAUUUGAAUUUUGAACGCUCUCUUUCUCCCUCCUAAUCGUGACAUCUCAAUUUCAAAUAACCACCUAAAUGUGUUUCAACCAUUUUUUUUAUUGAUUUUCGUUUGUAUGUGAAGAAUCUCAGGUAUUUGUAUAAACCCUUUUUGUAUAUAUUAAUUUGUAUAUACUUUUGUAUUUGUAUACACAUUACUGAUUUUGUUAUUAUAUUGUACACAUCUAUGUGUAGUUGUGUAUAUACAAACUUCCAUUGCUGGUGUUUGGUUCUAUACAAUUUUUUGAGUUUUGGUUGGAUAUUUUUUCUCGUAUAUUAUCACCCACUAUACCUUAUACAAAUCAAUUGCAUAAUUUUAAGGAAUUUUUACUUAAAUAAUGUAUUUUAUUUGAUUAAUUACCCAUUUUAAUGUUACUUUAUAUUUAUUAUCAUUUAUGACAUAACUUAAGCUUUAAUAACCAUUUGAUGUUUGAUACUAUCAGAGUAUAUAUAUACUCUGGUGGUAUCAAGGAAGAAAGUCACUUAAGUGAAAACACUACUAAGUUACUCCUUGAUACCAUCAGCGUAUAUAUAUAUAUAUAUAUAUAUAUAUACUCUAUUGAUAUCAAAGUAUGAUUCAGUGAAAAUACUAUUCAAUUAUGCCUUAAUACCAUUAGGUUAUAUAUAUAUAACCUAGCUGUAUCAAGUGUGUGUAUAUAUACAUAUUUACUAGUUUUUUGACACGUGCAUUGCACGUGAUUACCAAUUUCAAAAAUAUAUGUUAUAGUAAAUAGUAUGACUUAUUUAAGCGAAGAUUUGAAUAAUCUUAGCAAAAAAUAAUAUUGCAGAUUUUUUUGCGAAUGUUCAACGUGGAUCGUCAUAUAUAUCUCUUAUUCACGUAAACCUAUGAAGAUGGUCAAUGAAAUUUUUAUUAGUUAAAUGCAAUAAUGUAUAUAUUUAUUUCAAUUUUGAUGAGGUUCAAUCAUGUAAUUAGUUUUAUCUCACUAAUAUUACCUUAUAGACAAUAUUUGCUUUGUAUUUUUCUUGUCAUCUAACCAGAUGUGCUUUACAUGUGCUUUCCACGUAAAUUUUUCAGAUGUCAUAUGAACAUAAAAAAAACUCUGAACAUUUUAAAAUAAUAUAUUUUUUGAAGUUAGAAGAUCUUGUUGACUUGAUAAUACAUUUGUGACAUAUAUAAUACUUUAAUUUAAAUACAAAUACUUACCCAAAUAUAAAUAUAUAUUUGCAUUAAUGAAAAUAUUUAUCUCAUAAAAUUAAUUAUUAAAUGAAUAAUAAAAAUUAAACUAAUACAAACUUCCACUGGCGUUAUUACAAGUCAUAUGAACUUUUCUUCAUCUAAAAUAUUGAAAUAUUAAGAAAUAUAUAAAUAAGUAAAACAAAAGGACAUUGUUUAUAUAAUAAUAACUAUUUUGAAGCAAAUUUCAUGAGAGUCUAAAUCACAUAAGUAGCAUUGAUAAAUAAAGUCAUUCUUUUGUCUUGAGCAUCAAACCAAAUCGUGACAAUUCUCUAAAUUUUGGAAAAGAUAUUCAGAAGCAUAUAUCUAUAUCACAAGAGAAAUUGUUAACAAAAAUAAAUGAAUUUAGACUACAUUAUGUUAACUUCAUACAUUGGAACAUUAUAUACUAAUGUAUAUAUUAAGCAAAAACAUAAUUAUUAUAUCAUCAAAAUUAUUUUCCUCAAGUACUCGAGGUUAUGGAAUAUACCCUCUUAGGAUAGAACGACUUACUUCAUCAGAAUAGUGGUACCUCAUAUUCCGCUAAACUUCGAACUCACUCAACGAUAAUAAAUCACACAAAAAUAUUUAAAAUUCAAGAAGAAGAAAAGUAGAAGAUUAAAAAAAUUGUGUUUGAAAAAUGAAAGGAAGUCCUUCUAUUUAUAAUCAACAAAGGGUAGUAUGAACAAAUAUUUUUUUGUGUUUAUAUGAAAAGUCGUGACUUUUCCGAGAAGUCACAACCCUUUGNNNNNNNNNNNNNNNNNNNNNNNNNNNNNNNNNNNNNNNNNNNNNNNNNNNNNNNNNNNNNNNNNNNNNNNNNNNNNNNNNNNNNNNNNNNNNNNNNNNNNNNNNNNNNNNNNNNNNNNNNNNNNNNNNNNNNNNNNNNNNNNNNNNNNNNNNNNNNNNNNNNNNNNNNNNNNNNNNNNNNNNNNNNGUCACAACCUUAGAAAAAAGUCACAACUCAUCGAAAAAGUCACAACGUAAGUUAGAGAUAUUAUAGUAAUUUAACAUUCAAGUUAGGAGUUCAUGCUUUUAAGGCAAUAUAUAUAGAUAUAUAUCUAUCUAGAUACCCUAAUGGUAUCAUUUUUACCUAAAUUUAUACUUGAUACCACCAGCGUAUAUAUACUCUGGCGGUACCAGUGGUGGAGGCAGGAAUUCUAUCAAGGGGGUUCAAAAAAAAAUUAAACACGCUAAUGUUAUCCAUAAAUAAAUGGGUCGGGUCAUAUAUGAACGGAUUGAUUAACAAACGGGUUGACAAAAAAAAUCCUUAGUUCAAAUAAUUUCUUACAAUUACAACUUAUCUUAAGAAACAAAUUUAAAGUACAUAUCUAUAAAAUGAUAAUAAAGUAGCACAACUCAUUCAAAAAGUUCUACAAGUUCUUCAAUUCCUUUAGAAUUCUCUUCGGCUCCUGAAAGUGCAAAUGGAGAGAAAACACAAAUUUAACAUUAGAAAGACUAACAAAAAACACAAAUCAAAGCGAAAAUACUAUUUCUUCACAAAAAUUCUUUUUGGCAUAAAAUGACUUCAUUACAUUUCAAAACUACACAAUCUUGAAGGGAGGUUAAGAAACCAAACAUGAGGAUAAACCUAUCAAAACAUAGUUUUACAUUUGAAAAUACAACUAGAUACAUUUUUACAAUUGUAUUCUACGAGGUUUCAUAUCUUGAAAUGUCUUAAUAAUAACAUCAUUAGAAAUCUUAUCAAAUACAUCUUUUUCUAAAUAAGGCACCAAACAACCACUAAAAAAAAUCAUCACUCAUUUGACUCCGCAAGUCAUUCUUGAUAAACUUUAUUGCCAAAAAAGCUCUUUCAACGGAGGCAGUGACAAGUGGUAAAAGUAGAGCAAGUUUCACUAAGCGAAAUACAAGAGGAUAAUUUGAAUUUUUCUUUGUCUGAACUAAUCUUUUGGAAAGAUCACAAAGCCCAUUUAGAUCAUAGAACCUUUCAUCAACAUCACGAACAUCAACAAUGUAACUUGCAAGUUGAUUCUCAAGAAUACUCAUAUUGGAUUCAUCAAAGUCAUCUGGAUAUAAUUCAGCCAUUCUCAUUACUUUUACCAUUUUUCGGUGCGGAACUGAUAGUUGAGGAAUUCAUGGAAGUGGUAGUGUGGUAGGUGAGUAUUUUAUUUUUAAAGAUUUUAUUAUAAUAUUCUUUUGUUAAGUGUCUUAAUCUUGCGGAAUUCAUGGUAAAAUGUAAUAAUAUUUAUUGUAAUAUUCUUCCGAUAGUUGUUUUAAUCUGAAUAUUUCUUUAAUAUUAUUUAUGAUAUAUUCUAGAUAUAACAUAUCUUGGGUUCUUUGGUACAUAUAUAAAUUUUCCUCCAUUAAUUGUUCUAAUAGUUUUAUAUUUUCCAUAGAUUCUAUCCAAUAUUGUAAAUAUUCGUAGUUCAUUUUAAUCUGAAUUUAUUUCUAAAUCAUACCAUUCUAUUCUUUCGGAGUCUAAAUCAUGUAGGUCUAUUUCAUACCAUUGUUGGUUUAAUAUAUCUUCUGGUUCGUUAUCAUUAAAUAUUUUUUCCCAUAUUAUUCUUCUUAAUUCAAUUAUUUCUAUAUUUUUGAGUAUAUAUAAGAUUAAAGUUUUGUAGCUUUUUAUCAUUUCAUCAUGCAUGUAUGUAGUCAUGUUCGUUGUUAUGCAGGUUUUUUAUUUUCAAUUAUUCCUUCUAUCAUAUUCAUAAUUGAUUAAAUUCAUAGAUCAUUAUGAACUAGAUUAUCUUUAUCAUGUUUUCCUGUCACUACUAGCAUCGUACUUUUAGCGGAUACUUCCUUCUUAUCAGCGCCUCAACUUUGUUUACUCCCCUAAAUGGCUUCCCUCGCCUACCGAUUUCAACAUUAGGAUGGCAUAGUAUAGAAAUUUUCUCCUUGUUUCCAGUGUGCUAAUAACUAAAAUCAUGAUUCAAUAAUUCGAAUACAUAAUAACUAACAUAAAUAUAUUCAAUCACAUAUAUGAUAUUCAGGAAUAUAUGAAAUUAGUUCUGCAUAUUUUUUGAACAAUAUACCUUUUGCCUCUUGCUUAGCCAUGCUAUCUGAAAUAUCUGAUUGGAUUUUAGAUUUUUCCAUUAGUAUUUUAAAUAUUUAUCUUAGUUGAGAGAGUAUUUUUAUGAAAGAAGUAUUUUUAUUGUCUUAGGCGUUGCCUGCCUUUUCAUUUACAUCUGCGUCCCUUUAUAUAGAAAGGAAACGACUACUACUUUACAAUUCCUACCUUAUCUCUACAGUAAUGCACAAUAAUGUGCACGUACUAUACUACUUACUCUUAUGACUUUUUUACACUACUUGAUGGAUUUCUUACAAUUUCACACUUACUCUUUACACUUGUCUUACAAUCUCAUACCUACCCAUACCUACACUUGUCCCUACACACCAUACCUACUACUUUUAAUAUACAUUGUUGACUAAUUUACACUAAUUUAACUAUUCCUACUUUACACAUGUCUACUACUAUUUCUAAUAACUUUACAUAUGUCUACUACUAUUUCUAAUAAGUUAAAUAGCUUUAUGGCUUUUACAUCUUUGCAAUAAUACAUAGAUGACUUUAGCUUUCUUGACUUCUUAUCUUGUCCAUCUUCCUUUGUCUCCUUUUAUCUUUCAUUAUCAUUCCAAGUCUACAUCUGGAAUUAUGUUAUCUUCUCCGUUGCACUUUGAACAUAUAUGAUUAGGGUAUUUAUGUCCAAUUAACUUGCAAUAUCUGGUUAGUAACUCUGUUGAAAUAAAUCCUAUCUUUAGUGCUCGUGUUGUAGGNNNNNNNNNNNNNNNNNNNNNNNNNNNNNNNNNNNNNNNNNNNNNNNNNNNNNNNNNNNNNNNNNNNNNNNNNNNNNNNNNNNNNNNNNNNNNNNNNNNNUCUACUCGAAAUAAGAAUUGAUGAAAUAAACGACGACGAUCAAGAUGAACAACAUUCGGAAACAAUUGAAACAUAUACGGAAAUUUUAGCAAACAUAGAUAAUACAAAGAAUUUAGAAAUAAAUACAGGAGACGUAGACAUGGAUGAAAAACCUAGCACAUCAGGAGUAAAAAAUCCAAAAAAAUUUAAAUCCAAAAUAUUAUAAUGAAAACUAUGAACAAUAUGGUAGAAGAAAAAAACUACAAUGAGAUAAAAGAUUAAAUAAAAAUGGACGCCUAAAACCAAUAACUGGACAACAUGAUUUUUUAGAUUUAGACUGUGUAGCAGAUAUAAAUAAAACAAUCCAAUUAUGGAUAUGAUAUAUAUCAAAACAAUUAAUAGAUAACAAAAUAGUAAUGACAGAGACACCAGGAUAUAUAGAAAGAACGCUUAUAGGAACAGUAAAAUUAUGGCUACAAAAUUUAUCAGAUGAAAGUUUAAAAACUCUAAGAAGUAAUAAAAGAUCUAAUGGCGAAUUAGCUACUACAACUAUGGAAAUAUUAUAUAAAUACGAAAUAGCUAUAAGAAAUGAAUUUAGUAGUAUGACAACAGAGGUAGAAGAACAAAAUAAAGAAAAAAUCAUAAAUUGGAAUCUAAUGACAAAAUUAGCAAUAUGUAAUAUGUGUUACAUAGAUGAAUAUACAUGUGCAUUCUGGGAAUACUUAUUAUAAAGGAACAUAUAACAUAGAACAAAGUAAAGAAAUAAGAAAAUUAUAUUUUACAAAAUUACCAGAAUCUUUUAAUUCAAAAGUAAUAAAAAAGUUGGAAUGAAGCAGAAUUAACAGAUACCUUAGGAGCUAGAAUAAAAUUCUUGCAACGAUGGUUUAUGGAACUAUGUGAAAAACAUAAAGAAGAAAUAAAAAUGGAAAAAAUAUUAGUAAAAAACAUGGCAUGUUGCAAAAAUAAAACAACACCUCAAUUUGGUUGUACGGAUAGGUAUUAUAAAAUAGAAAGAAAUAUAAUAAAAAAUACAGAUCAAAAUAUAAAUAUAAAAACCAAGAAGAAGAUAUUAUAUAAAAAACUACAAAACCAAAAGACCCUAUAGACCAAAAAGAAAACUAACGGAGUGUACUUGUUAUAAUUGUGGAAAAUUAGGACACAUAGCUAGAGAUUGUAAAUUACCUAAAAAUCCAAAAAAAAACAAAUAUCAGAAAUAAUAAUAAACGAUGAAAAAUACACGCAGAUAGAGUACAUAGAUUAUGAAUUAGAAAGUGAAGAUAGCAUAUAUGAAAUAUCAGAAAAUGAAAUGGAUAAUGAUAUAGAAAUGGAAUCAGAUAAUGAAUUCUAUAAUAUAACAAAUGACUGAAACUGAUAUACAAAUAAUAACAAAGAAGAACAUCAAGACGAAGAUCAGAGAUUGUAAAUUACCUAAAAAUCCAAAGAAAAAACAAAUAUCAGAAAUAAUAAUAGACGAUGAAAAAUAUACGCAGAUAGAAUUCAUAGAUUAUGAAUUAGAAAGUGAAGAUAGUAUAUAUGAAAUAUCAGAAAAUGAUAACGAUAUAGAAAUAGAAUCAGAUAAUGAAUUUUAUAAUAUAACAAAUGACUGAAACAGAUAUACAAAUAAUAACUAAAGAAGAACAUCAAGACGAAGAAUCUUUAGAACAAAAAAUAAUAUUUGAUAUUAAUAUAUUUGAACAAAUAAAAGGAAAAGAACUAGACCUAAGCAUAGCAAAAAUAUUCGAAAUACCAACAAUAAGAAACUGGUUUAAACGACAAAAAGAAGAAUAUUAUGUAGUGAGUCAAAGAGAACAUAUCAUAGAUUGCAAAUACACUAAAGGUAAGGCCAAAAUACCAAUAAUAAAUAAACGAAUAAUAAAUAAAGAAAUACAAGAUAUUAAGGCUAAAAAUCCAAUUAAAUAUGUACAUUUAGGAGGAACAGAAAUACUAAUAAAAGCAUGUUUUAGAGAAGGAAUAGAUACACCCAUAGAAAUAUACUUAGCAGAUGAUACGAUUAUACAACGCAUAGAAAAAAGUAUAAUAAGUGCGGUAAAAGGUAACCUCAUAUACCAAAAAUUUAAAUUUAUAAUAAGUGCUAACUACUCAGUAGCAAUAAAUGACAGAAAUAUAGAUAAAUCAUUAGUAUUAUAUUGGAAAAUGUCAGGAAUAGAACUAGCCUCGGGAAGUAAAAUAUUUACAGCUAGAUGUAAAAACUUAUAUAUUUUAACAACAAAACAUAAAAUAAAAAAAAAUAAAAUAAAAUAAAUAAAAAUAGAAGAUCCUUUUGAAAGAAUAGUCACAGUCAUAGAUAAAAAUGAUUAUAGUUAUAAUGAGAUUGAUAUAGAAGAAGAUUUAGAAAUAGUAAAAGAAAGAUUAAGCACAUAAAAAUGAAUGACCACAAACUGUGAAAUACCACAAAUCUCAUAAAAAAUGAGUACUUCAAGAAGAAUAGAUAAAACUACCAACAAAAAAUACAAAUGGAAAGAAGAAAUAAACCACAUCAUUACUACAUAACGGGAAUAAUGGAACAACGAAAAUAUUUAAUAUUAAUAGAUACAGGUCGAGAAGAAAACAAUAUUACAAGAGAAUUAGUGACGGAAGAUGAAAUAAUAACUACUGAACAAUCAUGCCCCGAACUACCAAAAGCAUUAAUAUAUACCGAAGAAACUACAGAAAAGGAAAUAAUCAUUGGAGGAGUACCAAUAGCGAUAAAAUUUAAAAUAUAUCAAGGAGAUGAAAAAUAUCAUUUUUAGGGAAUAAAAAUGGCUAGAACAAGUAAAACCAUAUAAUCUAGAAGACAAAACAGUUAACAAUAAAUUAUGAAAAUAAAAGAUUAAUAAUAAAAAGUACCUUAGUAUGAAAAUAUACAUACUUACAAAGAUAAUAAUAGAGGGAUAUUACAACAGAUAUUAUACAUCAAUUAUAGAUACAGGAGCAGAAGUUAAUAUAUGUAAAUACAAUUGUUACCAGAAGACAAAUGAGAAAAAUUAAAAACACCGAUAGUAGUCACAAGAUUUAAUAAUGAAGGAAGCAUGAUCACAUAUAAGGCAAAAAAAAUAAAAAUACAAAUAUGGGAUAAAAUAUUAACGAUAGAGGAAAUAUGUAACUUUGAAUUAACUACAAAAGAUAUGCUAUUAUGAAUGCCAUUUAUAGAAAAAUUAUACCCACAUAUAAUAACAAAAACACACUGGUGGUUCACAACUCCGUGUAAACAAAAAUAGGAGCAAAAAGAGUAAAUAACAAAAACGAAAAACAACAAGAACUUCUCCCCAUACUUGAAUUUUCUCUUUAUUUUUGUUGUUUUAGCUAUACAUGUGACAAACCCACAUUGAUAUUUGACACUUUGAUGUCACCCACUUGAAUUUACUUUGUUUUUAUUCGAUAAUUUCUCAAACUACAGCUAACUAGAAUGAAAUUCUAGCCUAACUACUAUUUUCACUACCACUCCCUUGGGACAAGUCCCCAACCGUUAGUUGUGUUACUAUACUGUCGACGAUCGUAGACACUCAUACCAUAGGUUAGCCAACCGGACCAACGGGCUCAUGAAAAUGAGGCAAACCUCACUAAUGGAACUUGAGUGAGGAGUUGUGUCGUGCCACGACGUUAAAUAAGGCGCUUCUUGGGAGGUAACCCAAGGUCGUAAAUUUAGGAUUUUACUUUUAUAAAUAAAGGUGUACUGAUGUUGCAGAUAAACCGAGGAAAGUGUGGAAAAUCUCAAGUUGGCAAGUAGAAAGUCCAUUCCAUGAUCGCUCAACAGGUUGGCAAGACCGACUGGAUCCGUCGUUUGGCUCAAUACAAGAGUUGUAUAGAGCCUGUAAAAGUCGGCGAACGCAAAAAGCAGCUCGGCACAUCGCCAACCUGCUUGGAGAUCUCGAUGCAGACCGCCGAUCUCACCCCCAAAAAAUUAAAGAUUUUGAAGAAAGGGGGAGAUAAAUGAACACUCGGCGGACCGCUGAGUGGGUCGGCAAGUUGACUAACAUCGCUGAAUGGACAAGAACUGAACGGUGAUAAAGUGCCAAAAAUCUCAGAAUUUUUAAACUUUCCCACUCUUCCUCCUUUUAAACUUCUCAACUUCACAUCAAGGUAAUAUUUUGUAGAUUAUUGCUUACCUUUAGUAUUGUAGUCGAUAAUUAGUGCUUGGAGUUGAUUACAUUGCCGCCUAGCAUUUCAAAAGUAUUUUAAUCGGCAUCUAAGGUUGGUUUUCCGAACUCCGAAUUUAUUUUUAGCAAUUUUGUACUCAUUCGCAAUGAUUUUUUAUUUGCUAUUUGCAUUUGAGGACAAAUGUUUUUAUUUGUGGUGGGGUGAGGCUCACCUUGUUUUGCUUUUUUGGGAUUCUUGUGUUUUGGUGUACAUUUGGGUUGUCUGUUUUUAAAAACUGCUUUGCGAUUGUUUGAGCUUAUGGCUUUCUUUUUGUUUAAUUGCAAAAUAAUUUUGACCCUUCCGAUAAAUUUUUGUUUUUAAAAAAUUUUCACCACCGCUUGUAUUGAAAGUGGAUGUUCUCAUACAAAUUUAAGUCUCGGUUUCGAUCAAUACCGAUGACUUAAAUAGUGCUCUCAAUCGAACAAACAUGAAUGUGCGGCUACAAUGAGACCAAAUGAAGUUACAUAUAUGUGCACUCUUUGCAUCUCGUUGUGACUAGCCAUUUAUCGAAUUGAUUUUCUUGUGAGGACCGUUGCACACUAGCGAACAUGUCUACUCUUGUUUGACUGAAGUAUCGAUGCUUUGUGUGAUUAGCUUACUUUGCACCAUUUUGCCCCAUUAGUCUGAUUGAUUUAGAAAGGUGUAAUCUUGAGAUGAUCUUAGGCAACUUUUGAAGAGUGUGAACCAAUUUAACAUAUACCUCUUUUUGUGGCCUACCCGUGAGUGCGUGAAACUCUCUUGAACACCCCUUGAACCUUACCCUUUUUUGAAAGAAAACUUGAUAAAACCUAGACCUCUAUUCAACCACCACCUGUAAUCCUCAUGACUUGUGAUGUAGUGAAUAGCCAACUUAAGCCAAAAGCUUAAGUUGGGGGUGUGGUGAAAAGGAAAAGGAGAAGUCAAGAAGUGCAAGAAAAGUCUCUUCUAACUCAUAGUGUUGCGGAAAAAUGGAAGCCCUCCAUAUAUAUAUAAAAAAAAGACAGAAUAAGAGAAAAAGAAAAAAGAAAAGAGAAAAGAAAAGAAUGAAAAAGAAGACUAUGGAAUAAAAGUCCAAAAGAAAUGGAGUUACCAAGCAAUCUAUGGAGUGAAUAAUAGUAUGACUUAGAAGCACUAGAAGAAAAAUUGAUAGAAGAAGCUGAAGAAAAUGAAGUGUUGAAAGCUCCACAAUUUAUGAGGAUCUUUAGUCACUGAGCCUAAAAUGACCAUACCUUUGCACUCAGCCCCAUUAGAAGCCUUAAAAAAACCUUUUUGAUCUUGAGUAAGACGAAUCAAAGAUCAAUUGGAAAAGGGCAAACCUAUGGGUAAAAACAUGCAUUGUGUUUCUCUUUCUGAGUGUGAGCGUUGCAUCUGAUUCCUGAUCUUAAAUUGAUUAACUUAUGUGUGUGAAUAUGGAAUCAUUCUUUGUGUGAGGGCAUUCUGAUACUGUGGUUGAGCUUGAACUUGCAUUAGUAGAAAGUAUUGUGAGCAUGAGAAUCUUUGGUAAUAAUGUGUCACAACUUGAAUCUUUCAGUACACAAUUGAUACUUGCAUGAGUAGUUUGAGUCUUGUUAAGUAUAUUCAUGAUUUAGUCUUGUGUAGCACUAUUUGAGACAUCCUAUUUGAACUGUUGAACUUGAGUUUUACUUGAGGACAAACAAAAGUUUAAGUUGGGGGUGUUGAUGAGUCCACAAAUUGGACUCAUUUAGGGCCAUAUUUUAAUAGAAUUAGUGUCCUCAAAUGCUUCUUUUAUCCCAAUAUUAUCUGAUAAGAACUCUUAAGUUUCAGGUAUUUGAAGUUUGAGUGGAAGCAUGGACACUUAGGCGCAACAAGGAACAAAAAGGCUGAAAAGAAUGAAGAAACGGAAGCCUGAGCGUCACCAAGCACACUUGGCGAAUCGCAGAAGGGACGUACUUCGCCCUUUGUUCCAGUACGCGGAGCCUUGAAGGAAGAAGAUUAAAUUGGCGGUAAAAAAGCGCAGUCGACGUGUCGCCGAACAGUUCCGCGAAGCAGUACAAUAUCGCCCAAUAGUCCAGGACGCAGAUAUGUUGUAGGCAAGCACAAAAGGCGAUGAACCAGAUGAUAGACGAAUUGCCGAGUCGAUCGGCGAUUCCCACUUACCUUGCCAAACAAUCCGCCGAAACACUAUUUUCUGAAACUAUAAAUACUAGCUCUCUAUUAGUUUUAAACAAGACCCAAACAUUAUUGUAAUUUUUCACUUUAGCUUUCAUAUUUUCUCUCAAGUUUGGAGAGGGUUUUGUGGGAGACUUGAAGAAAGGAGUUCAUCUUCCCCAAAUUGGAAGUGGGUCUUCUCUAUUCUUCUUCCUUUUGCUUAAAUCAAGGUUUAAUUUCUUAUACCCAUUUGAUUUCUCUAUCAUUUUUAGGUAUAAUUUCUUAUUUCUUGAUGUGUGGCUAAAAACCCCAUUCUUAGGGUGUGAUUUCGCAAAUAUGUGUUAAUAUUACUGUUGGGUCUUGCUUGUUGAUAGGUUAGAUGCAUAUUAAUGGUAAUUUCACCUAGUGUUUGUGGUCUAAUUUAAUGGGUUUGUAGUUUCAAAUACAAAACCACCUAUGUGUUUUCGGCUUGCCCAAGAGGGAGGUCGCGAAACCAAAACCACUAGACUGAUGCCUAAGGAGUGGGUCGACAUGAGGUUCAUCCCAAGAGGGUGAGCCCUAGUCCCAUAUCCUAACACUCAGCUCUAGAGAGUGAGUGGGGUAAGGGAUAGGUUGGUCUUCAUGCGUCAAAUGGGUGUCCGAGAGGAACGCAUUUGAAACGGGGUAGUUGCCCGGGAGGGAACUUAUUUCCAUCUAAAGCUUAGCCUAGUCACUAUUAUAUUGCAAAUUUCUUAUCGAAAGCAUGUACCCAAUGAUUUAUAUCAAUAUAUAUUUGCGGUCACACCCCAAGGACUUCUCCCCAUACUUGAAUUUUCUCUUUAUUUUUGUUGUUUUAGCUAUACUUGUGACAAACCCCCAUUGAUAUUUGACACUUUGGUGUCACCCACUUGAAUUUACUUUGUUUUUAUUCGAUAAUUUCUCAAACUACAGCUAACUAGAACAAAAUUCUAGCCUAACUACUAUUUUCACUACCACUCCCUUGGGACACAACCCCAACCCUUGGUUGGGUUACUAUAUUACCGACGAUCGUAGACACUCAUAACCGUAGGAUAGUGUCGUUGGUCACGAUAAGCAUCAGUUUCUAAACGUGACAAAGGCAUACUUUUCUAACAAAAUGUCCUUUUUAUCAUAUAAGGUUUUUAGGCAUGUUUCCAUACUUAGUACAUAUUAUGUGCUAACCCCUUCUUCCUUCUACAUCUUAAUGAGUGUAGGUUCCGGCUAAGUGACUUUCACUCUCUCCUUUGAAGAAGACUUGGAUUGCUUUCUCCAUGUAGUGGUGAGUCCUCAAGUUCGAGGAUAGGAUUUCCUAUUUUAUAGAUCUAUUAUACCUCUCAUGUUGAGACUUUUAAUGAUGUAUAAGGGCUAAGUCCCAAAAUUUGUAUUCCUAUGUUUUAGAUGGUGGUAUGAGACAAAGUCUAGACUUUUCCUAUUAUUUUCUUUUAUGAAAAGUGAAGUUGAACUUCAAUUGCAAAGUGUUAAAUUCCGCAUUAUUUCAAUGUCUUAUGUAAUGAUGAUGCUAGAGGCUUGUAUGAGACCCCUUCGUGGUCAAGUACGUCAUGUUACAUCUAGGGGGUACUCUCGGGUCAUGACAACUAUGGUAUCAGAGCAUAAGGUUUUGGGAAUAAUAUUUAGGUUGACGUCUCAUGCACCACAUCUAGUAGAUUCUUGUUCAUGAGUGUGAAGCGCGCCACACUUACGAAUAAGAGGCUAUAAGAUGCUUAGGAACAUUCCCUUAUUUCAUUACUCUUUAGUCGUGCUUAGAGUUCGUACUCUAUGAAAUCCUUUCUUCUAACCCUUCUUUUGUGAUUAUAGGAAAAUGAAUACAAGAAGGGCAAACUUAAGAAGAAGGGUAGAAGAGAUGGUGAAUGAUGUGGGAGUUCCUCCCCAAGGCCCUCAAGAUCCUCAAGGGCUUCAAGUUCCUGAUGAAGGAGCUACGACUAAUGUGGAGAUAAGGGUGGCUCUCUAAACAUUGACUCAGGUCAUGACGGCGCAAGCACAAGCCGUGACAACUCAAGCUCAAGCCAUGACAACUCAUGCAAAUAGGGAAGUUGGGCCCCAUAUUAAUCCUAAUGCAAGCACCAUGGCUUCAAGGUUAAGAGAUUUUACUAGGAUGAAUCCUCCUAUUUUCUUGGGUUCCAAGGUGAAUGAAAACCCAUAAGAGUUUUUGGAAGAGGUCUGCAAGAUAGUGGAUUCUAUGGGAGUGACUUCUAUUGAGAAAGUCGAACUAGCGGUGUAUCAAUUGAAAGAUGUGGCCCAAGUAUGGUUUACCCAAUGGAAGGAUAAUAGGGCAUUAAGAGUGGAUCCCAUAAGUUGGGAAGUGUUCAAGAAGGUGUUCCUUGAUAGGUUCUUUCCUCGUGAGAAGAGGGAAGCCAAGGUUGAGGAGUUCAUCAACCUCCGUCAAGGGGGAAUGAGUGUUCAAGAAUACUCCUUGAAAUUCACUAAGUUAUCCAAAUAUGCCCCCUCUUUGGUGUCUAACCCAAGAGAUGAAAUGAGUCAUUUUGUCACCGGUGUGUCCGAUGCUAUUGAAGAAGAGUGUCGAGCGGCAAUGCUCCAUGACAACAUGGAUAUCUCAAGGCUAAUGGUCCAUGCUCAACAAGUUGAGGAAUUAAGGCUUAGAAAGAAGAGUAGAGAGGUGAAGAGGCCAAGGCCCGACGAUGGAAAUUCUUCUAAGGGUAAGUUUGAAGAUCAAAGUGGACCAAGGUUCAAGAAGAGGUUUUCCAACCAAGGCUCCUCCAAUGCUCCAACACCCAACAAAGAUAGGAUGUCUAACCCUAAGCCUCAAGGAGGCAAUAGGGGUGGAACUUCCAUGGAUAGACCUACAUGUGCCAAGUGUGGUAAGAGACAUGAGGGGAAAUGUCUUUCCAGAAUGGGUGUGUGCUAUGGGUGUGGCAAAAGUGGGCAAUUGAAAGAUUGUCCAACUCGUGCAGCCAAAGGACUACACCAAGUGGUCCUAAUGCCGAUGCUCCCAAGAAGAAUCGCUUCUAUGCUCUCCAAUCUAGAAGUGAUCAAGAGGGGUCCCCGGACGUUGUUACCGGUAUGUUGCAAGUAUUUUCAAUUGAUGUUUAUGCAUUAUUAUACCCCGGUGUAACUCUAUCUUUUGUUACUCCGUUUGUAGCAAUGAAUUUUGAGGUCCCUCCUGAAGAGUUAAAAGAACCUUUUUUCGUGUCUACCCCGGUAGGUGAUUCGGCUGUAGCUAAAAGAGUGUAUAGGAGAUGUCCUAUCUCUUUGUCUCAUAGAGUCACUUUGGUAGAUUUGGUUGAAUUAUAUAUGUUGGACUUUGAUGUCAUUUUGGGGAUGGAUUGGCUUCAUGCUUGUUUUGCUUCCAUUGAUUGUAGAACUCGGGUAGUAAAGUUUCAAUUUUCAAAUGAGCCUGUUUUAGAAUGGAAGAGGGUAAAUUCAAUCCCUAGAGGUCAAUUCAUUUCAUGUCUAAAGGCUUGUAAAAUGAUUUCUAAGGGUUGUAUCUAUCAUAUUGUAAGAGUUAAGGACAUUGAGUCUGAGACUCCUCCUUUAGAGUCGGUCCCCGUAGUGAGGGAGUUUUCGGGAGUCUUAUUUGAUGACUUGCCUGGAUUACUCCCGAAUGGGAAAUAGACUUCGGCAUUGAUCUUUUGCCGGAUACUCAACCCAUAUCAAUUCCCACUUACCGGAUGGCUCCGGCCGAAUUAAAAGAGUUGAAGGCACAACUCAAGGAUUUGCUAGAUAGGGGUUUUAUACAACCAAGAAUAUCUCCAUAGGGUCCCCCGGUUUUGUUUCUGAUGAAGAAAGAUGGGUCCCAUAGGAUGUGUAUUGAUUACCGCCAAUUGAAUAAGGUCACUAUAAAGAACAAGUACCCUCUCCAUAGAAUUGAUGAUUUGUUUGACCAAUUCCAAGAGGAGAGUUACUUUUUAAAGAUUAACCUAAGGUCAGGAUACCACCAACUUAAGGUGAGAGAGGUUGACAUUCCUAAGAUGGCCUUUCGAACAAGAUAUGGUCACUAUGAAUUCCUAGUCAUGUCUUUUGGGUAGACCAACGCCCCGGCGGCCUUCAUGGACCUUAUGAAUAGGGUGUUUAGACAAUAUCUUGAUUCAUUUGUGAUCGUUUUUAUUGACGAUAUCUUGAUCUACUCUAAGAGUGAGGGUGAUCACAUGAAACAUUUGAGGAUGGUUUUGCAAGUCCUUAAGGACCAACAAUUGUAUGCUAAGUUUAGCAAAUGUGAAUUUUGGCUAAGGUUGGUUGCGUUUAUAGGUCAUAUUGUGUCAAGCAUGGGUAUAGAAGUUGAUCCUAAGAAAAUGGACACGGUUAAGAGCUGGCCUAGACCCCCUAAGUCCCACCGACAUCCAAAGCUUUUUGUGUUUGGCUGGUUACUAUCGGAGGUUUGUUGAGGGUUUCUCCUCUAUCGCUUCUCCAUUAACGGCCUUAACCCAAAAGAAGUCUAAAUUUGUGUGGAUGGAGGCUUGUGAGAAAAACUUCCAAGAAUUGAAGGAUAGGCUCACAUCCGCUCUGGUGUUGACCUUACCGGAGGGUACCGAUGGGUUUGUAGUUUAUUGUGACGCGUCUCGAGUGGGUUUGGGAUGUGUUCUGAUGCAACAUGGUAAGGUUAUUGCCUAUUUUUCAAGGCAACUCAAGAUUCAUGAAAAGAAUUAUCCAACUCAUGAUCUCGAACUAGCGGCGGCGGGGUUUGCUUUGAAAAUAUGGAGACACUAUCUCUAUGGGGUACAUGUAGAUGUGUUUACCGACCACAAGAGUCUUCAAUAUGUGUUUAGCCAAAAAGAUUUGAACCUCCGACAAAGAAGAUGGUUAGAACUUUUGAAGGAUUAUGACAUGAGUGGCCUUUAUCACCCCAGCAAAGCCAAUGUAGUUGUGGAUGCCUUAAGUAGAAUAUCCAUGGGUAGUGUGGCUCAUGUAGAAGAUGAGAAGAAGGAAUUGUUUCAUGUUGUACAUAGGUUGGCCCAUCUAGAUGUCCAACUUUUAGAUUCCGCCAAGGGUGGAUUCAUGGUUCACCAUAGUUCCAAAUCAUCCUUUGUGUUUGAUGUAAAGUCUAAGCAACAUCUUAAUCCUAUUUUUAUAGAAUUGAAAGAAUCAAUUCUCAAUAAGUCCAUUGAGGUUUUCUCCCAAGGGGGAGAUAGGGUGCUUAGGUACCAAGGUAGGUUGUGUGUUCUGGAUGUUGAUGGUCUGAGGGAGAAAAUAUUAGAAGAGGCUCAUGGUUCACGAUAUUCAAUUCAUCUGGGAGCCACCAAGAUGUACGACCUACGGAAAGUGUAUUGGUGGAAUGGUAUGAAGAAGGAUAUAGCGGGUUUUGUGGCCAAAUGUCCAAAUUGUCAACAAGUCAAGGCCGAGCACAUGAAACCGGUAAGUUCGCUCCAAGAUAUGAAUAUUCCCACUUGGAAGUGGGAGGAGGUGAAUAUGGAUUUUGUUGUGGGGUUUCUCCGCACUCGAAGGCAACACGAUUAUAUUUGGGUCAUUGUUGAUAGGAUGACGAAAUCAGCCCACUUCAUUCCCGUCAAGGUUACUUUUUCGGCGGAAGACUAUGCUAAGUUGUACAUCAAGGAGGUAGUGAAGUUACAUGGGGUUCCUUUGUCUAUCAUAUCGGAUAGAGGUGCUCAAUUUACUUUAUUUUUGGAAAGUAUUCUAACAAGGACUUGGUACAAAUGUUAAACUUAGUACCGCUUUCCACCCUCAAAUGGUUGGUCAAGGGGAACGGACCAUUCAAAUCUUAGAGGACAUGUUGAGGGCGAGUGUGAUUGAUUUCAAGGGUAAUUUGGAUGAUCAUCUUUCUUUGAUAGAAUUUGCCUACAACAAUAGUUACCAUUCUAGCAUUGCCAUGGCUCCGUUUGAAGCACUAUAUGGAAGAAGGUGUAGAUCUUCGGUUGGGUGGUUUGAGGUAGGUGAGUUUGCUCUAAUUGGUCCCGAACUAGUCUACGAUGACAUUGAAAAAAUUCGACUCGUUAGAGAAAGGUUGAAGACGGCCCAAAGUCGGCAAAAGUCCUAUGCCGAAAAUAGAAGAAAGGAUCUUGAAUUUGAGGUUGGUGAUUGGGUCUACUUGAAAAUCUCACCUAUGAAAGGUGUGAUGAGGUUUGGCAAGAAGGGGAAACUUAGUCCCCGAUAUGUGGGCCCAUACCAAAUCUUGAAGCGUAUUGGGAAAGUUGCUUAUAAUGUGGACUUGCCAAAUGAGUUGGCUCCGGUUCACCCGGUGUUUCAUGUUUCCAUGCUCAAAAAGUGUAUUGGUGAUCUGGUUUCCAUCCUUCCCUUAGAAGGUUUAGGAGUUGAUGAGAAUCUUUCUUAUGAAGAGGUCCCAGUUGAGAUUUUAGACCAGCAAGUGAAGAAGUUGCAAAAUAAGGAAGUAGCUUCCGCUAAAGUUCUUUGGAGGAAUCAUUUAGUUGAGGGUGCUACUUGGGAGGCCGAGGCCGAUAUGAUGUCCCGCUACCCUCAUUUUUUUCCUUCUACUGCUAUUCAAGCUUGAGGUAACUAGCUCCUCCUAAGUUUAGUGUUUUGGAAGUCAUGUGUGUUGUAUGAAUUUUCCAUGAUUUCCCUAUAUUGUGCAUGUUCUUGUGAGAAUUCAUGUUUUAGUAUAUAUUGAGUUUUCAUGACAUUUAUGUUCCUCAUGUUUGUUUGCAUUUUGUAUGAUGAUUGCAUUUUUUCACUCCAUGAGAUGAAAUGAUGAACAUGCUUAAUGAUGUGUUGAUGAGAUGACACAUUAGCUCUAUUUUGUUGUGUUAAGCUUACUUGAUUUGGAGAAGUUAGUUCCUCCCAUGCUUAUGUGAAUUAAAGAGUUGCUUGCAUGUUGAGUUAGUAGAAGUAGUUCCUACUCUCUUGUAUUGCUUUGGCCAUGUUGUGAAAAAGGAGUUGAAGUAUCCUCCUUUGAAAAUGUGCAUGAUGUGAUUAUUGCAUUUUAGUUUUUGAACGUUUUGAAGUUUCAUGCAUGAUGGGGUGCUAGUCUAGUGUUCCUAACUUAGUUUUGGUGUCUUGGUCGGCAUUCGGGGACGAAUGUUCCCAAGGGGGAGAUAAUGUAACACCCCGUAUUUCUAAUAACCUAAGCUAGAGCCUAACGUGUAGUCUAGUAGCCUAAUGAAGUCUAAAUGUAAGUUUAAGGUCCUAAAAUAAUGUUCCUAAUUUAGUACUAGGGUUCUAGUGCCUAAACAUCAAGGCACGACUCCCCUAGGUGCCCCCAAGGGUCCAAGAGGACGACCCAAGGGAAGGUCCAAAAAGUUGUCCAAAACAGCCUCAUCCACGACAGGCAACCUAGAAGGUGUAGGUUUUCAUGCCCUAUUGGUGGGGGUCGUGAGUCAACACUUGGUUUCUACCAAGUGCCCUCCAAAUUGCCUAGCCACAGCCCCAAUCCACGAGCGUGCAGUACGGUCCGUGGACAGACUCACGCCCCGUGGAUUGGUCUCAUGAGUUCAGACUUAGUCUCCUCACCAAGGCCUCACUUGAAACCUCUCUGAACCAAACAACGGUUAGCCAGGAUGGUCCGUGGACCCAUCCACGCUUUGUGGUUUGGGGUUCGUGGAUCAUGCCUAACAAACUGCCUAGGUUCGGCAUAAGGUAGGGGUGGUUUGGUAAUUCCUUAAUUAAUUAAGUUAGAUUGGGGGACGGUUAUUUUAAGUUGUUUUAGGUAUAUUAAAGUAUUUUUAAGUAUUAAAACAAGUCUUUAACCCCACACAACUCACAACUCAAAAGCAAACGCAUUUCCCUCUCAAAACAUUCUCUCUCUAAACUCCAUUGAAGAACAAAGAAGAAGCUCAAGAUUAGGGUUCAAGCUCCAAGAUUUUCACUCCAAUUUCGUGGUAUAACAUCAAUUAAGGUAUGGGGACUUUGAUUCAUGGAAAAUCUUUCUCCAUGAAGCCCUUCAAUUCUUGAUUUCGAAAUUGAAAUAUUGUUCAAAAACUAGGGUUUCUAUUCCAACCAUGGGUUCUUCCUAAAAACAAUUUUAUUAUGUUAAUUGAUUUAUAUUGUGGAUGAUUUGAAGUUUAAAGUUGAUUUUCAUUGUAAAAUUCCCCUUGAACCCAUGAACAACCCCCAUGACCCUAAUUUCAAGUAUUGUGAUAGGUGUAUUGAUGCAAAAUGAUUACUAUGAAUUGUUUCUAUGUGAAUUUAGUUAUUGAAUCUUGUUUUGUACAUGCCUAUUGUAGUAUAUUUAGGUGUAGUUGUGAGACAUGAUUCAUGACCUUGAAAAUGGGUAAAUUGUUAGGGUUUGUACAUGUUGAUGAAAGUCGUGUAUAACCUAUUGAUUCACUUAGAAAGAAAAUCUCCUAUGACUAAUGUGUAAAGUAGGGUAUUGUUGAAAGUAUUGAUCUUCUUUUACCCUUAUACUUAAUGAUGCAUGAAUAGUCUAGGAUGAUGAUGAUGUAUUGUGUUGAUUAAAAGUCUAAUUUUCAUGAAAACACUACGAAUGUAAUGUGAAAGUCUUACUCACACACUAAUGUUGAUUCUAAGGUUGAAAGUACAUUCUCGCCUUUAAUGAAUCUAUGAGUUAAUUUGAUGGAUUGUAUUGAAUGAGGGAUAGAGCAUUCCUUCACACAUGUAAAUGCAAUUCAAGACUUAAUUAUGUAUAAUUUGGGAAAUAAUGCUUCGCAUCGAGUGGUAUGGACAAUGAGGUAAAGGACAUUCCGCCAAUGCAAUAGGGAGGUUCAUCCAAAGUGAACUCAUGAGAUGGAAGCCCCUUUGCCAAAGCAAUAGGGUGGGUUUCUAGAAGCAAUCUUUCUAUCCCAUAACUAUGUGCCAACAUAGGACUUAGCUAGUGGAUCCACCUAGACGCUAUACACUUAGUCCUACCUUAGGCAAGUAGGACACCUUCUUUCGGUGUGGGGUUACACGACACUGGAUUCCAUGUAGCUCAAAUGGUCUAUGUCGGUUAUGUUAUUCUUCCCUAAAUGAAUGAUAAUGAAUGAGACAUGGACUAUGCUAUGACCUCUAGGUGAGUUUACUUAGUAGGAGUGGGGGUAUGGGACUUCACUCCCACAUUGCACAAGUGGACUUGGUAGGGUGUUGUGGGAUGGUUCCUUAUUAUUGUAAUGAGAUACGAAUACAUACGUAUAUCUUGAAUGGUUAGUUAUUAUGAAUGACUUUCCUUGUAUUCAAAGUAAUGUUCAUGAUUAUUUCUUUAUUGGUGACUAAUGAUUAUAAUGAGGUUUGAAGAUGAUAUGCAUGACCAAGGGAACUUCAAGGGGACAUUUAGUAGGGUUGGUAUUAUGGGAUGCCAACCAUACAUUGCACAAUUGUUCCUUAGAGGCUGCUAAGGUGUUUAUAUUACCAUGUAGUGAGUAUAAAUGUGAUUAUAAUUGUGUCGUACAUUGUAAAUACAUGUUGGUUUCUAAACGUGUCAAAGGCAUACUUUUCUAACAAAAUGUCCUUUUUAUCAUAUAUAAGGUUUUUAUGCAUGUUUCCAUACUUAGUAUAUAUUAUGUGCUAACCCAUUCUUCCUUCUACAUCUUAAUGAGUGUAGGUUCCGGCUAGGUGACUUUCACUCUCUCCUUUGAAGAAGACUUGGAUUGCUUUCUCCAAGUAGUGGUGAGUCCUCAAGUUCGAGGACGGGAUUUCCUAUUUUCUAGUUCUAUUGUACCUCUCAUGUUGAGACUUUUAUUGAUGUAUUCCUAUGUUUUAGAUGGUGUAUGAGACAAAGUCUAGACUUUUCCUAUUACUUUCUUUUAUGAAAAGUGAAGUUGAACUUCGAUUGUAAAGUUUUAAAUUCCACAUUAAUUCAAUGUCUUAUGUAAUGAUGAUUCUAGAGGCUUGUAUGAGACCCUUCGGGGUCAAGUACGCCAUGUUACUUAUAGGGGGUACUCUUGGGUCGUGACAGGUACAGAAAUGAUCGCAGUGGUGUGUAUGUGCCCCAGGUAAUAAAGAUCGGGCAAGUGGUAGGUCCAGCGGGUCUAAGCUGGAAGACAUGUUGGCCAAGGUCCUCCAAAACGUUGAGUCAACUGAUGCAAGGGUGAAGGAGAUGAAAGGUGAUUUCUCCAAUAUAAGUCAAUUGGUAAACUGUCACACCACCUCUAUUAAGAAAAUAGAGCAACAGUUGGGGCAGCUUUCAGUAUCACUAAAUCAAAGGAAAAAUGGUUCACUGCCUAGUGAUACAUUACAAAAUCCUAAGAAGGACGAGCAUUGCAUGGCUAUCGCCACCAGGAGUGGUAAGAUUCUUAAUAACCCAAUGUUUGCAUGUACUAAGUAUGAACAGGUGGUGGAGCAAACUGGAAGAGAGGAGGUUGAAGCUGAACAAGUAGAUGACUUGGAGGAUGCUCAACCAAUAGCGUAACCCGCAUGAGGAAAGGAAAAAGAAGUUGAGGGAACUAUGCCUUUACAGCAGAUCCCGAGACCACCUUCUCCUUUCCCUCAACGGCUUAAAAAGAAAGUCGAGAUGGGAAAUUUGCGAAGUUUAUCACCAUGCUGAGACAGGUGUCAGUGAACAUACCAUUGGUGGAUGCCCUUGAGCAGAUACCAGGAUAUGCCAAGUUCAUGAACGACUUCGUUACAAAAAAAGAGAGGUGUGAAUAUUGAUUUGACUGACAAUGUUCAUCAUUGCAGUGCUAUUGCUACCAGAUCUCUGGUACAGAAGAAAGAGGAUCCAGGUGCAUUCACCAUACCGUGCAUCAUCGGAUCAAUCAAAUUUGCAAAGGCCUUGUGUGACUUAGGAGCCAGUAUAAACUUGAUACAGUUGGCCAUCUACAAGCAACUGGGUUAGGAGUUCCAAAACCCAUAACAAUCAGGCUGAUAAUUGGACAUAGGUCAGUAAAGUGACCUGUAGGCAUCCUAUGUGAUGUGCUCGUAAAGGUGGACACGUUCAUCAUUCAAGCAAACUUCGUGAUCUUGGAUUGCAAAGUGAAUUUAGAGGUUCCCAUAAUUUUGGGGAGACCAUUUCGAGCCACAGGAUGAGCAUUGGUAGAUGUUGAGAGAGGAGAACUGAAAUUCAAACUCAACAAUGAAGAGAUAAAGUUGAAUAUUUGCAUUUCAAUGAAACAGCCAUAUUACAUGAAUGUGGUGUCUGUGAUAGAGGCUUUUGAUGAAGAAGAGAUGGGAGCAACCAUUGAGAAGAGGCUGGCUGUUGAAACAUUACCAGCCGGGUUGAUGAAUUUUGAAGAAGAUUUACGGACUGACUAUGUGGAAACUGUAAAUGCCUUACAGGGUAUGGGAACACACUCUUAUGCUCCAAAGAAACUGGACCUGGAUUUGAAAAACAGGCCAAGCCCUCCAGCAAAUCCAUCCAUUGAGGAGCCACCGGUGUUGGAAUUGAAACAAUUACCCAGUCACCUGAGGUAUGUAUAUUUGGGCUCUAACAAUACUUUGCAUGUGAUUUUGUCUGCAGAUUUAAAUGAUGAACAGGUUCAAGCUGUGAUCAAAGUGUUGAUAAGGUACAAAAGGGCAAUUGGGUGGACCAUUACUGACGUCAUCGGGAUACCUCCGGGUAUAUGCACUCAUAAGAUCCAACUUGAGGAGGACUGCAGCCCAAGCAUUGAGCACCAGCGGAGAUUAAACCCACCAAUGCAAGAGGUGGUCAAAAGAGAGAUCAUCAAGUGGUUAGAUGUUGUGGUGGUGUACCCUAUUUCUGACAGUCACUAGGUCAGCCCAGUGCAAUGAGUGCCCAGAAAUGGAGGUAUGACAGUGGUGGCGAACGCAAAGAAUGAGUUGGUCCUACAAAGACCAAUCACUGGAUGGCGAGUGUGCAUGGACUACAGGAAGCUGAACAAGUGGACCUUGAAGGAUAACUUCCCAAUGCCUUUCAUAGACCAAAUGCUUGACAGGUUGGCUGGAAAAGGGUGGUACUGUUUCUUAGAUGGAUACUCUGGCUACAACCAGAUAUCAAUUGCUCCUGAAGAUCAGGAAAAGACCACUUUUACAUGUCCUUAUGGCACCUUUGCGUUUAAACGCAUGCCAUUUGAACUAUGUAAUGCACCAUCAACUUCCCAGAGGUGUAUGAUGUCUAUAGUUUCGGACAUGGUAGAGGACACUCUAGAGGUAUUAAUGGAUGACUUUUCAGUGGUAGGUGAUACCUUUGAUGACUGUUUUCUCAAUCUUAGAAGGGCGAUAUAGAGAUGCGAGGAGGCCAAUCUAGUGCUGAAUUGGGAGAAUUGCCAUUUCAUGGUCAAGGAAAGCAUAGUCCUUGGUCAUAAGGUGUCACAAAAGGGAUUAGAGAUCGAUAAGGCCACAAUUGAGGUGAUUUAAAAGUUACCUCCACCUAUUUGUGUGAAGGGUGUUCGAAGCAUCUUAGGACAUGCCGGGUUUUAUAGGCGUUUCAUCAAGGACUUCUCAAAAAUUGCACACCCGUUGUGCAAGAUUUUGGAGAAGGAGGUGAGAUUUACUUUUGAUGAGGCAUGUCUAAGACCUUUUGAAUGCCUGAAGGAGAAGAUGAUUUCUGCCCCAGUGAUCAUUGGCCCAGAUUGGGUUGAGCCUUUUGAGGUAAUGUGUGAUGCUAGUGGUACUGCCCUAGGAGUUGUGUUAGGAAAAAUGUGCAACAAGAUGUUCCAUCCGAUCUAUUAUGCUAGCAAGUCACUAAAUGUAGCACACCGAAACUACACAGUCACUGAACAAGAACUACUUGUUGUGGUAUAUGCUUUUGAGAAAUUCAGAGCUUACUUGUUGGGUACUAAAGUGAUAGUUCACACGGAUCAUACAGCUCUAAGAUACCUAAUGGCAAAAAAAAUACCAAGCCAAGGUUGAUCAGAUGGGUGUUGCUACUUUAGGAGUUUGAUUUUGAGGUUAAGGAUAGAAGAGUGUGUGAAAACCCGGUGGCUAAUCACUUGUCUAGGUUGUAGGCUGAAAAGAAAGAGGAACUUGAGCUAGAAAUCAAUGACUCGUUCCCGGAUGAGAAGGUAUUAGCUGCUACUCUUGAUCUCAUUCCUUGGUUUGCUGAUUUUGCUAACUUCCUUGUUAGUGACUUAAUGCUUGAGGGGAUCACAUUUUAGCAAAGGAAGAGGUUCCUGCAUGAUGUGGGUAAGUAUUUUUGGGAUGAACCUUAUUUGUACAGGGUGUGUGCUGAUAAUAUCAUCAGACGAUGCAUCCCUGAAGCUGACAUGUUGCACAUUCUAGAGGCCUGUCACUCCUCUCCAAUAGGUAGCCAUCAUGGAGGCGCUCGGACAGCCCAUAAGGUACUUCAGUGUGGGUAUUAUUGGCCCACAAUUCAUAAAGAUUCAAUGGAUAUAGUGAGGAGUUAUGAUGUGUGCCAGCGGCAAGGAGCCAUCUCUCGGUGCCACAAGCUACACAUGACACCUAUUCUGGAGGUAGAGCUAUUUGAUAUGUGGGGAGUUUAUUUCAUGGGCCCAUUUGUGAGCUCCUAUGGACAAAAGUAUAUAUUGGUGGCAGUGGACUAUGUGUCCAAAUGGGUUGACGCAGUUGCUUUUCCUGAGAAUGAUGGCAAGGGUGUUGCUGGCUUUCUGAAGAAGAAUAUCUUCUCAAGGUUCGGCACACCCAGAGCCAUUAUCAGUGAAGGCGGUUCCCACUUUUGCAACAAGGUAUUCAGUGCACUUAUGGCCAAAUAUAGGGUUACAAAGCACAAGGUGGCAACUUCUUAUCAUCCGCAGACCAGUGACCAAGUGGAGGUGUCCAAUAGAGAAAUAAAGGCGAUUUUGCCAAAAAUAGUGAAUGUCAAUAGGAAAGAUUAGUCACGAAAGUUAGAUGAUGAUCUAUGGGUAUAUCGGACAGCUUCAAGAUGCAUAUUGGUAUAUCUCCAUAUCAAUUGGUGUUUGGAAAGGCAAGUCAUUUGCCAGUUAAGCUUGACCAUAAGGCACUCUGGGCAUUGAAGAAGCUAAUCUUAGUUGGGGUGAAACAGUAAACCUGAGAUUGGAUCAGAUCAAUGAGAUGGAUGCGUUCCGUUUGAGAGCAUAUGAGAGGUCUGCACUAUACAAGGAGAGGAUGAAGGUGUAUCAUGAUAAGCAUAUUGAGAAGAGAACCUUUAAUCCUCGUGAUUUGGUGUUACUUUUCAACUCCAGACUUCGUCUGUUUUUGGGAAAGUUGAGAUCCAAAUGGUCUGGACCUUCUAAGGUAACUCAGGUGUUCCAGUCGGGUGCUAUUGAGCUUGAAAAUGAUAAGGGCGACAGGUUCAAGACUAAUGGCCAAUGAUGUUUGCGUAAUCAAGACACAACUUCCAAUUCGAGUGUCUACGAUCGUACAAUAGUAAAGUAACCCAACCAAAAGUUGGUGUCGAGUCCCAAGGGAGUAGUUUUGAGAAUUAAUAGAAAAAUAAAAUUUAGUUCUAAUUAUUCAUAGCUAUAGACAUUAUCGAAUAUAAACAUACUAAAUCUAAAGGGGGUGAUGCAAGAGUCAAUUAUCAAUGGGGGGUUUUGUAUUAAUUAACAACUACAAACAACGAAAAUAUACGAAAACUAGCUAGAGAGAUGGGAUUCUUGAGAUGUGAUAGGAAUACGGGAUAAACUAAAUUGUCGGGUACAUGCUUUUGAUAGUAAAUUGUUGAGUAUUUGUGACUAGGCUAGACAAUAGAGGGGUAAAUUCUCUCUCGAGCAACUUACCCCGAAUCGAAUCGAUUUCUCCCGAACACUUAGUUGCCACUUUAAGCACAGCCUCCGCCUUAUCCUAUUCACUCUCUCGAGCUGAAUGUGUGGGAGAAGGACUAGGAUUCACUCUCUCGAGCUGAACCCAUGUCGACCCAAUACCACCGGCUAUCCAUUUAGUAGUCUUAGUUUUACGACCUCUCUCUCUCUCGCAAGCCGAAAACACUAAGAUGAAAUCAUAUUUGCAACUACAACUCCAUUAAGUUCAUACACAACUACUAAAUGAAAUCAUAUUUAAACAACAAAUAAACCAUCAACAAGCAAGACCCAACAGAUAAUCAAACCCAUAUUCACAAAAUCACACCCCAAAAUUGGGGUUUUAGCUAGAUAUUUAAAAGAGAUAAAAUUUAUACCAAUAUCAGUUUCCAUCAACUAGGUAUGAAGUAUUAAGUCUUAAAACACGUCAAGAGUGAAGAAUCUUUGAGACCCAAGUUCAAUUUCUUGGAGUUGAAACCCUUUGAAUCUUCAAGGUCUUGAAACAAAGUCUCUAAAACCCUCUAAAACUUAGACUCUCUCAAAAACUGUAAAAAGUUCUAAUAAUAGUAGUGAUAUGAUACUAAUCUAGAAAUUUAAACAAGCAUUUAUAGUGUUUGAAAAUGUGUUGCGAAGGACCCUUCGGCGAAGUUAUUCGGGAUCACCGAUACGUUCGACGAUCCGUCGUUUGGUCAAUUUCAUUGCCUUCCUGCUUUAGCCUUUAGCCUCUUUGUGUUUUGAGUCGUUGGGUGAUAUGGUAGUGCUUUGCAAAACUGUUCGGCGACACGCCGACUACUCCAUUGCAUCGCCAACUUGACCUUUUCCUUCAGGGCUCAGCGCACCGGAACAAAAGGUGAUCUCCAAGCCGAUCGGCGACUCGCCAACUGGGCUCAGCGAUCUUCAGGCCUUCAUUUCUUCGUUCUUUUUAGCCGCUUUGUUCCUUCUUGNNNNNNNNNNNNNNNNNNNNNNNNNNNNNNNNNNNNNNNNNNNNNNNNNNNNNNNNNNNNNNNNNNNNNNNNNNNNNNNNNNNNNNNNNNNNNNNNNNNNNNNNNNNNNNNNNNNNNNNNNNNNNNNNNNNNNNNNNNNNNNNNNNNNNNNNNNNNNNNNNNNNNNNNNNNNNNNNNNNNNNNNNNNNNNNNNNNNNNNNNNNNNNNNNNNNNNNNNNNNNNNNNNNNNNNNNNNNNNNNNNNNNNNNNNNNNNNNNNNNNNNNNNNNNNNNNNNNNNNNNNNNNNNNNNNNNNNNNNNNNNNNNNNNNNNNNNNNNNNNNNNNNNNNNNNNNNNNNNNNNNNNNNNNNNNNNNNNNNNNNNNNNNNNNNNNNNNNNNNNNNNNNNNNNNNNNNNNNNNNNNNNNNNNNNNNNNNNNNNNNNNNNNNNNNNNNNNNNNNNNNNNNNNNNNNNNNNNNNNNNNNNNNNNNNNNNNNNNNNNNNNNNNNNNNNNNNNNNNNNNNNNNNNNNNNNNNNNNNNNNNNNNNNNNNNNNNNNNNNNNNNNNNNNNNNNNNNNNNNNNNNNNNNNNNNNNNNNNNNNNNNNNNNNNNNNNNNNNNNNNNNNNNNNNNNNNNNNNNNNNNNNNNNNNNNNNNNNNNNNNNNNNNNNNNNNNNNNNNNNNNNNNNNNNNNNNNNNNNNNNNNNNNNNNNNNNNNNNNNNNNNNNNNNNNNNNNNNNNNNNNNNNNNNNNNNNNNNNNNNNNNNNNNNNNNNNNNNNNNNNNNNNNNNNNNNNNNNNNNNNNNNNNNNNNNNNNNNNNNNNNNNNNNNNNNNNNNNNNNNNNNNNNNNNNNNNNNNNNNNNNNNNNNNNNNNNNNNNNNNNNNNNNNNNNNNNNNNNNNNNNNNNNNNNNNNNNNNNNNNNNNNNNNNNNNNNNNNNNNNNNNNNNNNNNNNNNNNNNNNNNNNNNNNNNNNNNNNNNNNNNNNNNNNNNNNNNNNNNNNNNNNNNNNNNNNNNNNNNNNNNNNNNNNNNNNNNNNNNNNNNNNNNNNNNNNNNNNNNNNNNNNNNNNNNNNNNNNNNNNNNNNNNNNNNNNNNNNNNNNNNNNNNNNNNNNNNNNNNNNNNNNNNNNNNNNNNNNNNNNNNNNNNNNNNNNNNNNNNNNNNNNNNNNNNNNNNNNNNNNNNNNNNNNNNNNNNNNNNNNNNNNNNNNNNNNNNNNNNNNNNNNNNNNNNNNNNNNNNNNNNNNNNNNNNNNNNNNNNNNNNNNNNNNNNNNNNNNNNNNNNNNNNNNNNNNNNNNNNNNNNNNNNNNNNNNNNNNNNNNNNNNNNNNNNNNNNNNNNNNNNNNNNNNNNNNNNNNNNNNNNNNNNNNNNNNNNNNNNNNNNNNNNNNNNNNNNNNNNNNNNNNNNNNNNNNNNNNNNNNNNNNNNNNNNNNNNNNNNNNNNNNNNNNNNNNNNNNNNNNNNNNNNNNNNNNNNNNNNNNNNNNNNNNNNNNNNNNNNNNNNNNNNNNNNNNNNNNNNNNNNNNNNNNNNNNNNNNNNNNNNNNNNNNNNNNNNNNNNNNNNNNNNNNNNNNNNNNNNNNNNNNNNNNNNNNNNNNNNNNNNNNNNNNNNNNNNNNNNNNNNNNNNNNNNNNNNNNNNNNNNNNNNNNNNNNNNNNNNNNNNNNNNNNNNNNNNNNNNNNNNNNNNNNNNNNNNNNNNNNNNNNNNNNNNNNNNNNNNNNNNNNNNNNNNNNNNNNNNNNNNNNNNNNNNNNNNNNNNNNNNNNNNNNNNNNNNNNNNNNNNNNNNNNNNNNNNNNNNNNNNNNNNNNNNNNNNNNNNNNNNNNNNNNNNNNNNNNNNNNNNNNNNNNNNNNNNNNNNNNNNNNNNNNNNNNNNNNNNNNNNNNNNNNNNNNNNNNNNNNNNNNNNNNNNNNNNNNNNNNNNNNNNNNNNNNNNNNNNNNNNNNNNNNNNNNNNNNNNNNNNNNNNNNNNNNNNNNNNNNNNNNNNNNNNNNNNNNNNNNNNNNNNNNNNNNNNNNNNNNNNNNNNNNNNNNNNNNNNNNNNNNNNNNNNNNNNNNNNNNNNNNNNNNNNNNNNNNNNNNNNNNNNNNNNNNNNNNNNNNNNNNNNNNNNNNNNNNNNNNNNNNNNNNNNNNNNNNNNNNNNNNNNNNNNNNNNNNNNNNNNNNNNNNNNNNNNNNNNNNNNNNNNNNNNNNNNNNNNNNNNNNNNNNNNNNNNNNNNNNNNNNNNNNNNNNNNNNAAAACAUGGGUUCAUGGAGAUUUCUUUCUAAAAACAAUUAAUAAUCAUUAAUAACAAUAUAAAUCAUCAUUUAAAACCUUUUUUAUGCAAGAACCCAUGCUAGAAUCGAAAUUAGGACUUUAGGAUUUUUGAAGAACUUUGAAAAUACUUUGAAUUGGCUCUUUGAUUGAAAAAGGAAUCAAAGAUAAAUAGUCCCCAUACCUUAAUAUCGAGAAAGCCCACGAAAAUUGAUGAAAGAAGCCUCCAAUUGAAACCCUAGUUCUUCACCCUUCUUCUUCCUUGAACUUGAAAGAAAUAUAUGAAAGGAGAUGGGUUUCUUUUUAAUUCUAAGAGGAGUGAGUUAAAUGAAAGGAAUUAAGUCAUAAAAAGGUCUUAUAGUUGCUAGGAAAAGAAUAAAAUAGCAUAGGGUCAAUUUUGGAAAAGGACUAAGGACCCAUAAAUUCUUGACUUAAAAAUUGUGCCCAUUCUCGUCUAAACUCGUCCUUUGGACAGUGCUUCACUAUUUCAGGCAUAACUUUUUACUCCAAGGUCGGAAUUGGGCAAACUCGGUGGCGUUGGAAAGAGGACUCAAAGACCUUUCAUAGGAUAGGUAAUGGCCCACCUAAUUCAUUUUGAGCUAAGAGAUAUGACCAUUUAAAGUUGACCAUUACAACUCACUAGUUCAAAUGACUAGUUUUCGGUCGUCACGGUCAUUUCUCAUCAUUUCAUCAAGUUCUCAACUCCAAACUCACAUGUGAGGCUCUAGUUUCACUAAUUCGUUUUUAGGGUCGUUACAAUAUGGAACUGCUUCGCGGAACUUUUCGGUGACACACCGACUGCUCCAUUGCAUCACCAACUUGACCUUUUCCUUCAAGGCCCAGCACACUGGAACAAAAGGCGAUCUCCAGGCCAAUCAGCGACUCGCCACCUAGGCUCGGCGAUCUUCAAGCCUUCAUUUCUUUGUUCUUUUCAUCCGCCUUGUUCCUUCUUGCCAAGUAGUGUCCAUGCUUUGCCUUAAACUCUAAAUACCUGAAACUUAAGGAUUUUCAUCAGAUAUUGAGACAAAAUAUGCAUUUGAGGACACUAAUUCUAUCAAAAUAUAGCCCUAAUAAGUCCAAAUUAUGGACUCAUCAAAACCCCCAGCUUAAAGUUUUGCUUGUCCUCAAGCAACUCGAGUUCAGUUGUUCAAAAGGGGUGUCUCAAACAGUGCUACACAAGAAUCAAUCAUGAAUGCACACAACAAGACUCACUUUACUCAUGCAAAGAUCAAUUGUGCACUCAAAGAUUCAAGUUGUGACUCACCAAUAUCGAAGAAUCUCAUGCUCACAAUACUUGCUUCAAAUGCAAGUUCAAGCUACAACAAGUAUCAAUCCCUCACACAAAGAAUGAUUCUAUAUUCACACAAUGGUUCACAGUUUAAAGCUUCGAAAUUAAAUGCAAUGCUCACACUCACAAAGAUGAACACAAUGCAUAAUUUCACGCAUAGGUUUUCCCGUAUUUUCCAAUCAACACUUGCUUCAGCUCACUUAAGAUCACAAAGGUCUUUCAAGGCUUGUAAUGGGGUUGAGUGCAAAGGUAUGGUCAUUUAGGUUCAGUGGCUACAGUCCUUAUGAAACAAAGGUUGAAUAACACUCCCUUUCAUCUUCUUUCAUCAUUCUCAUUUAUGCUCACAAGUAGUCCUAUUAUUCACUUACCAUGGAUAGUUGGAAACCCCAAUUUUCUUUAUACUUUCAUAACUUUAUUCCACAACUUUUUCAUUCUUUUUCUUUUUCUUCUUUUUUUUUUGUUUUUUUUUUGUAUGGAAGGGUUCCAUUUUUUACAAAAUCAUGGGUAGAAGGGACUUUCUUGUAUUUAUUGAUUUGCCUUAUCUUUUCACCACACCGCCAACUUAGGCUUUUGGCCCAAGUUGGCUAUUCAAACAAACCACAACUUCAUGAGGAUUAUGGGUGAUGGAUAAAGAAAGGUCAUUGUUUUCAUCAAGUUUCUUCCAAAGAAAGGUAAGGCUCAAGGGGUGUUCAAAAGAGGUUCACACACACUCACAAGGUAGGCCACAAAAGAGGUAUAUGUCAAAUUGGCUCACACUCUUAGAAGUUGCCUAAGAUCAUAUCAAAAGAUAGUCUUACUUAGUCGACUGGACCAACGGGGUAAAUUCUAGGUGUUGUCAUGCAUGGUUCAUAGUAAGCUCAUCACACAAGGCAUCGACACUAAAGUCAAACAAGACUUCACACAUUCUCUAGUGUGCAACGAUCAUCACAAGAGACUCGAUUUAAUAAUUAGCCAACGAGAUACAAAGAGUUCACAUAUUGUCUAUGCAACUUCAUUUGGCCUCAUCGUAGCCGCACAUUCAUGUUGUUCGAUUAUAAGCACUAUUUAAGUCAUCGAUAUUGAUCAAAACCGAUACUCAAAUUUGCAAAAGAACAGCCAUAUUCAAAACAUACAAGAGGUGGCGAAUUUUUUUCCGAAAGGGUCAAAAUCAUUUGCAAUUUAAAGCAAAAGAAAUCACAAGCUCAAACCUCCCACGAAAGCAGUAUUAACACAAUUAUAACUUACAACGCAAAUACAUAAACAAAACAUGAUUCACAAAUAGCACACAAAGGUGGGCCUCACCCCACCACAAAUGAAAAACAUUUGUCCUCAAAUGCAGAUAAAAAUAUCCAAAAGUGAAAUAAAGUAAGACAGAGAGGGAGGUAAAGAGGGGGUCCUAUCUACACAGUCGCUCCAUCUGUUUGGGAAUCAGUGCCCGGUGCAUCACUCUGGUCCUGGGUCUCAGUACCUGAAGUCGCCUCAAAAGAAACAGCAGUACCAGACCCACUAGGAGCUGCCAAGGGUGGCAUGACAAUAUUGGUCUUUACCAUAUCUUCGGGAUACUCAAACUUCUCCCUAGUAGACUCAACAACAUGCAAGAACAACCCCACAAGAUUUAACCGAUUUUAAGGCAUAAAAAUAAGGGGUUUUAACAAUAUAAAUACUACGGGCAAGAUUUUCACAGGCAUAAGCAAAAACAAUUAAGAUCAGAGAGGCCCAACACACAUUACUAAGAUAAGAUCAUUGCAAAUGAGUACAAAAUUGCUUAAAAUAAAUUCGGGGUUCGGAAAACCAACCUUAGAUGUCGAUUAAAAUACUUUUGAAAUGCCAGGCGGCAAUGUAAUCCACUCCGAACACAAAUCAACGACUAAAAUACUUUAAAAUUGCAAAAAUAUAGAAACUAAGGUGCGGGUGUGAUUUUGUGACGAUUGAAAGUGAGGAAAAGUGAAGAGUUUGAAAGUUUAAACCUUUGGUCUUUUAAGAAACCAUCCAGUUCUCCCCCAUUCGGUGACAUUAGUCAUGCUCGCCGACCGACUCGACGACACGCCAAGUGGUCACUUACCUCGCUAAGUUUUACAGGAUCCUCAGUUGAUGUGGGGAUCCAAACGACGGAUUAGAUCGGGAUCGCUGACCACCAAUAAUUUCCUGGGCUCGCCGACUUUUAUAGACUCCAAUGUAAAAUUGUCUUGAGUCCAACGGAGGUCUGGGUCGGGGCCACCGACCUCUUCGGCGAUGGGCCAACUAGACCUUUUGCUCGCCAAUCUGCACUUUUCAACAACUUUCCCAUUUCGACCUACACAACCAACACACCAUUAUUUCUUAAAGCAAAAAUAAAGCGAUAAGGGGUCUUGGGUUUCCUCCCAAGAAGCACCUUAGUUAACAUCGUGGCACGACCCAAGUCCCCACUUAAGUUCCAUUAGUGGGGUUUGCCUCACUUUCAUAAGGCAACCUCUCUUCCAGCUCUGGAUAGAGACAUUCCAGAAGCAUCUUAUCUGGAAUUUCAUGAGUCGGGCACUACUGCAAGAGAGCCUUAAACCUUUGCCACAACUCAUAAACUGACUAACCCUCCAAUUUAUUGAAACUUAGGAUGAUAUCCCUUAGCAUCAUCAUUUUUAGAGGAGGGUGGUCUAUUGGGUCACCGCUAGCAGAUAUGCUCAAUUUUUCCAUUCAAAACAGCAACACAAAAACCAAAACUAAAAAUUCAGUAAGUUCAACUAUAAUUAACAAGAACAAAAUUCAACUUAACUAAAAAUUCUCAACUAACACCACUCCCCGGCAGCGGCGCCAUUUUGAUGUUUGUGUAUUCAAGACACAACUUCCAAUUCGAGUGUCUAUGAUCGUACAAUAGUAAAGUAACCCAACCAAGGGUUGGGGUAGAGUCCCAAGGGAGUGGUUUUGAGAAUUAAUAGAAAAAUAAAAUUUAGUUCUAAUUAGUCAUAGCUAUAGACAUUAUCGAAUAUUAACAUACUAAAUCCAAAGGGGGUGACACAAGCGUCAAUUAUCAAUGGGGGGUUAUGUAUUAAUUAACAACUACAAACAACGAAAAUAUACGAAAACUAGAUAGAGGGACGGGAUUCUUGGGAUGUGAUAGGAAUACAGGAUAAACUAAACUAUCGAGUACAUGCUUUGAUAGUAAAUUGUUGAGUAUUUGUGACUAGGCUAGACUAUAGUGGGGGUAAAUUCUCUCUCGAGCAACUUACCCCGAAUCGACUCGGUUUCUCUCGAACACCGAGUUGUUGCUUUAAGCAUAACCUCCGUCUUAGUCAAUUCACUCUCUCGAGCUGAAAGUGUGGGAGAAGGACUAGGAUUCACUCUCUCGAGUUGAACCCAUGUCGACCCAAUACCACCGGCUAUCAAUUUAGGAGUCUUAGUUUUACGACCUCUCUCUCAAGCAUGCCACAAACACUAAGAUGAAAUCGUAUUUGCAACUACAACUCCAUUAAGUUCAUACACAACUACUAAACGAAAUCACAUUUAAACAACAAAUAAACCAUCAACAAGCAAGACCCAAUAGAUAAUCUAACACAUAGUCACAAAAUCACACCCCAAGAAUUGGGGUCUUAGCUAGACAUUUAAAAGAGAUAAAAAUAUAUACCAAUAUCAAUUUUCAUCAAUUGGGUAUGGAGGAUUAAGUCUUAAAACACGUUAAGAGUGAAGAAUCUUUGAGACCCAAGUCCAAUUUCUUAGAGUUGAAACCCUUUGAAUCUUCAAGGUCUUAGAACAAAGUCUCAAAAACCCUCUAAAACUUAGACUCUCACAAAAACUGUAUAAAGUUCUAAUAAUAAUAGUGAUAUGAUACUAAGAUAGAAAUUUAAACAAACAUUUAUAGUGUUUGAAAAUGUGUUUCGAAGGACCCUUCGACGAAGUUAGUCAGGAUUGACGAUACAUUCGGCGAUCCGCCAUUUGGUCGAUUUCAUCGCCUUCCUGCUUUAGCCUUUAGCCUCUUCGCAUUUUGAGUCAUUGGGAGAUAUGGUACUACUUUGCAGAACUGUUCGGUGACACGUCGACUACUCCAUUGCAUCACCAACUUGACCUUUUCCUUCAGGGCUCAGCGCACUAGAACAAAAGGCGAUCUCCAGGCCGAUCGGUGACUCACCAACUGGGCUCGGCGAUCUUCAGGCCUUCAUUUCUUUGUUCUUUUCAGCCGCCUUGUUCCUUCUUGCCAAGUAGUGUCCAUGCUUUGCCUCAAACUCCAAAUACCUGAAACUUAAGGGUUUUCAUUAGAUAUUGAGACAAAAUAUGCAUUUGAGGACACUAAAUAUAUCAAAAUAUAGCCCUAAAUGAAUCCAAAUUGUGGACUCAUCAGUCAGCGAACUAAGGCAUACUUGGGUGUUUCAGAAGAAGUGAAGAUAGUUGAGGAAUGUAAACUUGAUGAGGUCUAAGUAAUCAAGUAACCUGCGUCACACCGUGACGUUAAAUUGUGCGUUGCUUGGGAGUAAACCCAAGAUUUUAUUUGGAAUUGGUGGUUUAUUUUUCUCAUUUUUCUUUGUUUAUAUAGAGUCACUGUGUUGGUGUGUGCAUGAAAGAGUGGGACUAAGAAUUGCAAGAACUCGGUGCAGACAGCUCUUCACGAGCAGUCCCACGGGCCGUGGUGUCCUUCACGGGCAACUUCACGGCCCAUCAAUCUCAGAACCAACCUAAGAAAGCUAAUGGAAUAUGCCAUCAUAUAGUUCACGAAAGAUUUCACGAUCCGUCAGUCCUUGUACUGACCGUCUAGCAUCUCAUGAACCUCAAGUGAGUGUUGUUUUUCUAAGUUAAGUUCACGGAAGACUUCACGGACCGUGGUACCUUUCACGGGAAAUUUCACGAUCCGUCAUCCAUAACGCAACAUUACCAGUAAACCGACUCGUCCCGCGCGUGAAACAAAGUUGAAAUUAAACGUAUGUAUUUCCUAAGCCCCAAGGGUCAGGUUUUCCCCAUAUAUUCUCCUCCAUAAUGGUUAUUAAAGUCAUAAUACAGUUUCUAAUCUCUAAAACUUCCUAUAUUCAUCCUUGAUUCCAACCCUAGUGUGCUAGUAUCAUGAAAUCGAAGGGAUAGUCAUAUUUCUACUUUUUGGGCAAAAAUUGUGAUCAUACUCAAAGUAAGUUCUCUAUUCACUUGUUAUAAGUUUGAUCUUAUCUAUAAACAAGUUAGAAUUAUUAUGAGUUGAUCAAAUUUUAACAAUAUUUUGUAAUAUAUUGUCGUUGUGCUAUUGAAUUGUUGUGGGGAGGUUUAAAUUGGGUAAAUUUGAUUGUUCUUGUGUAUGGGUAUGAUGAAUUUGGGAGAAAUUAGUUUUAAAAGUUGACUUUAGUGUGAAGUUGAAUUCAAAGGGGUUCCAAACAUGUAUGCCUUAAUGAAUUGUGUAAACAUAAUUGUUGAAAGAUUGAGAUCAAAUUCAUGUGCAUGUGGGUAUGUUCCUAAUUAGGUCUAAAUUGUGUUUGAUUUACAUGGCGAGUGAUGAAUGUGGUAGAAUGGUUGGUCUCAUGUGCUAAUAGAUCUCGUAACCUUGUGAAGGGUGAUGUUGGGCAUCGAGUGUUGUUGGAAUGAGAGGAACACUGAAAAUGGGCCAAGUGUAAGUCCACGAUGGGCUUCACGAACCGUGGGAUCAUCUACGGAUCGUGAAACCCCUUGUGGACCACACUUGGAAAAAAAAGAGUACAUUGGGUAGGAGCACGAUGGUCCUCACGAACUAUGGUUCACUCCACGGACCGUGAAACCAUCUGUGAUCCAUUCUAGUACACCAUCUCACACAGUCAAGUAACCAACUGGUGUUCACGAGGGUCUUCACUGACUGUGGUACCCACCACAGCCCGUCUUGACUCCCGUACAAAACAAAUCUUUUUACUUUUUGUACUUUGAUUUUUGUUUCGUAUUUUAAUUCUGUGGCCCUUCCCAAUGAUAGAUUGGGUGAGGGCUUUCUUAAGGAAAGGCGUCACGUUGUAAUUACACAAGGGAAGUCUGAGUACCCGAUAGUGUGUCAUUUCAUUGUUUUACAUUCUAAUGGGUUGUUGUAUUUCUCAGGUACUAUGGCUCCCCAAAGAAAGAACACAACCAAACAUUCCUCCCCCACUGCUUCUCAAUCGGAAGGUCAUAACGAUUUCGAGUCUAGUAGUUCCAAGGUGCAUAUUAAUACCACCAUUGAGGAUCACUCGCCUCGAGCUACUAGAGCCCAGACAAGAGGGCAAUUCUCCAGGACACUCAUCCCUAAUCUAAAGAGGAAGGUAGUAGUUCUGGUAGCAGGGAGGAAUCGGGAAGUCAAUCUGAUGCUGGUUCGGGUAUCCAGUUUGUUGAUGGUUCAGGAGGAAGUUCAGAGUUUGCAAGUGGCUCUCAGGAAGAUACAACCACACCUCCAUCUGCAGUAAACACAGAAGCUGAAACUGGAGCACAGGAAAAAGCAGGUGUUGUAGGAGAAUAUGAAGAUAUCACCAACGAUGACACCAUGGUCCUAUAUGUUAACAUCAAUGAAGUCGAUCCCGCAAAGAGACAACAGCUGAUUGAUUGUUUCCUUUUUAUGUGGACUGUGAACAGGUCUGAAGAGUUCUUUAAUAAUGGAAUUGUGAACAAGUCUGGCGGUUUCAAGAAGAGAUCAAUCAUGCAUGAGACCAGAGUGGUGGUGGCAGAUAUUAAAUCAAUCCCCGACAUUUAUUGGAUUUUUCAGUUUCAUCAGUUUGACUGGAUGAACAAUGCACCUGGAGAAUAUUCUAGCCACCUGACCAGAGAGUUUUAUUCGUCUUAUGCAACCACAUUGAUGAACUUUGUUGCAGACACUGAGACAACUAAACGUUGGCAGAAGGAAAUUGCCAGUACCUGGUCCACUCAACUCAAUUUUUGUUCGGGGCACAUCGAUUGAUAUCUCCGAGGAUACUAUCAACCGGAUGCUUCAUGGCCCAGAAUACACAGCACCAACUUCGGUUGACCUUUUUGAGGGCAAACAUCAUGCGGUCACUAGUGAUACUAAGAUAGAGGUUCAAAGUUCUCGUGAGAGGGUCUUGCGCUGGAUUGCGAGUGAAAUUACACUAGAUAGGGAGAAUGCAGUUUGGGUUACAACAACACCAACACUCAUUACUAAAGCUUCACUAUUUUUGCAGCCAAGGUUUGGUAGGCUGUUGUCUGUGCCCAAUUGAGACCUACAGGUAAUGAUAAUACUUUGUCUUUUUCACUGGCUUCUUUGGUAGCAUGCCUCACGGCUAGUUACCCGGUAAAUAUGGGGCGGAUUAUAGCGACCGAGAUGAGAGACAGGGCACUAAAUGAGAGAGUCAGACUUCCAUUUCCCUAUUUGAUAGGGAAAUUAUCUCGACAAGCAAACAUUCCCCCAAACAGGCUAGUUGGCAGAUGGGGUGAGGCAUUCAGACUCACCCAGCCUCUAAAAUCAAAGAUGUCGCUAACUAUCUCUUUGGUAAAAAAUCUGGAGCUGUCGGUUCUUUGAUUGUUGUUCCUCACGCACCAAUUGACAUUCCACAUGAGGAUAGAGGGCCAGAUCAGGGGGAGUCAUCACAACCAUCUACAGAGGCACCACCACCACCAACUUCAGCCUCACAGGCUCCAGGUACCUUUGUCACUAUUCCUAUACUUUUCCUUGAGAUAUUGGUUGCAGAUCAGUGCCAGACCAGGACCUUAGUCGACCAGAUUGUACACCGAACGCCCCAGCUAAUAGACAGAGAUGUGUUAACUGUGGAGAAGAAGAUAAAAGAUGAGAUGCGGAAGGAGCUGGCUGUUUUAAAAGAUAGGAUGGAUGGUCUGGAGAUCCUUAACCAGGAUCGAUUGUAGGCUGCUGGUUCAGUCAACACUGAAGAUUUCCAGACACAAUUGGCUAAGAUGCGAGCUCAAGUUGCUAAACUGGCAGAAAAGCCAGUACAGGUGCCCACUCCGAUCAUGCCAGAGUCCUUGUUGCAAUUGCUCAGUCAGGCACCCUCCACUUAAUCACUUGACAAUUUCUGGGGUGAACUGCCCAAGAGUAAGUCCGGCAAGAGAAAACACAAAGCCGUAGAAUCUAAUGAGGAGCUACCUGCUAACCUAUCCAGAGAGGAAAGAAGGCAACAUAAGAAAGCCCGCAGGGCAUCAAGGAAGGAAGCUAGAGAAAAAGACACUUGAGCAACAACAGUGAGAUGCAGUGUUAGUUGGAGCUUCUGAUAGCGGAGUACCUGAACCGGUGAGUGGUAGCCAACCUGAUCCUGCGCAAGUUUCUGAGAGUGCACCCGUUGAUAAGGGUGACAACGUUGAUCCAGCAACCGGCGCCUAGAGCGUCGUAGGUAUGACCCCUCCUCAUAGCCCUGUUUUGUUUUUCUUCUUUGACUUUGAGGGGAUGGUGAGCAACCGGCCAUUCUAGCUGUUAGGAUGAAUGGAGGUUGACUCUGUGUUUAUUGUGAAAACUGUUAUUGUUUUGUUUUGUGUUUUGAUAAAAAUAUGAAGUGUUUGUGUGUUGAGCUGUGCAGCAGCUAAUCUGUGUGAAAUGAUUACAUUUGACUGUUAGGAUCUUUAGAUGACAUUUUAGGUACUCACUUGUUGAACACUGCUAAUCUGGAAAUAAAUUGGUGAACCAAGAAACUGAAGAAUGUAGUCUUGUGUCAUGUGUGUGUGAGGUUUGCUAGAAGUCUAACGCUAGGAGCAGAAGCUAGAACUUGCCCGAGUUGUCUUGCUUAAAUUGGAGAAUAACCGGAUAGGAAAGGAUUAGUAGGCCAUCCUUAUUAAGCCAUAAAAAAGCCAAAAAUAAAGCAACCAAAUAAAAACCUUAUCACUUGAACCCGAUUUGAGCCUGAAAAUCAGUUUUGUUCUUACCCAGUAAAUAUCAUAUCAUUUGGUCUCCGAAGAUACGAUGUCAACUCAGGCCAAAAGCCUAAGUUGAGGGUGAUUGCAAUUUGAGCAUAAAGAAGAACUGAAAAAGAAGGUUCAACCAGUGAGCUGAAUGCAUAUCAAAAAAAAAAAUGGCUGCUGGGAUGUGCUGAAAUGAAGAAAAAGAGGGAAUCGCUCAAAAAAGAGUUGUGCAAACGAAUAUAUGGAGAACCAAGGGACUAGUCACUCACAAACCCAAAUAUUCAUUCCCUAGCCUAAGCCUAUGUUACAAGCCGAUAAAUUCCUAUAGUGAUCCUAUUCCGGCUGUUUGAAAGAUAGAGUGUAGAAAGCAAGGGCAAGCCUAUGGUAGUUUGUUGUUAGUGUUAGAAGUUCUUUGAGAGUGCGAGCGUAGAACAUAAUCCCAAAUUAUCAUGAGUGAGGGACUUCUUUGGUGUGAGGACACAGUGAUUGAUUUGAGAGUAGAUUGUGUUAGAUGAUAGUUCACAGGCAUAAGCAUGGUCGACUGUGAGUAAUGAGAUGUCAUAUAUUGAUCCUUGCAUGUUAGAUUGAUGGUUUUGGAUACAAAAUUGUGUUUGAGAUGGCUGUUGCGUUGUUUCAAAAAGUGUUUGAAUGAUUUCAGGACUGAAUGUAUUGUUUUCUCAUCACUUGAGGGACAAGUAAUAGUUCUAAGUUGAGGGUGUUGAUGUGCCGCAAAAUCUUGGCACAUUUGAUGCUUGAAAACUAAGGAUUAAUACUAGAAUCGAGUGUAUUUAUGUGGAUAUAAUGUGUUUGGUAGUGUUGGUACAGGUGAAACAGGUGGAAGUUAAAGAAGAUAAAAAAAAUAAGGAAAUUCAGUGAAGGUUGGAAGUAAAGACAACGGACGACCUCACGGGUCGUGGUCUUCACUACUGAUCGUGAGAUGCUCGUAGAGUUGAACCAGUGUUGAGGAUUAGAGGAGCUAAAAGAGAAUUGAACCAAGUGAAAACCACGAACAACCCCACAAGUUGUGGUCCUCACAACGAUUCGUGGUGAGAGUCGUGGUGAUGAUCCAGUGAAGAGGCAUUAUAAAGUUGAAGAGGGAAUUCAUCAAGUGAAUACCAUGGAAAACUACAGAGACCAUGAUCAUUGUCACGAGUCGUGGUAGUGUCCGUGGAGAUGAUCCAGUGAAGAGGCAUUAUAAAGUUGAAGAGGGAAUUCAUCAAGUGAAGACCACGAACAACUACACAGACCGUGGCCAUUGUCACGAGUCGUGGUAGUGUCCAUGGUGAUGAUCCAGUGUACAGGCCUUGAAAGAACUGUUUUGGGUGAGUCCAAGUGAAGACCACGAAGGGCUUCACGGACCAUGAAGCCCUUGACGGGUCGUGGAAGCAGUUGUGAAGUGUCCGACAGUUCAGUCCUACUUCGAGUAGGACUCUUUUUAAAACACGUUAUUUGAAUCAAUUAGGUCGUUUUUAGUUUUUACCUCGUCUUAUCUGGAACGAAGAACAAGUUUUCAAAUAUUCUUAGCUUUUGGUUUUGAAGAUUAACAUCGAAUUAAGUUUGUAAGUUGAAUUUACGGUUCUUGAACUAUCAAAGUGCGUAUCGAUUUGCUUAUUUUCGUAAGUAUAUUUCUCGUCAUAUUUUCAUUAUAUUCUUCUGUAUGUUUACGUGAAAUCAUGAGUGGCUAAAUACCACAACUGGGAUUGUGGGAUCUAUGACGUAAAUCUAAGUGUAAUUCCGUAAAACCAGUGAAAGGCGAUUUACAUUUGCAAAGUAUAAUUUAGCUUUCGUUAUUCAUGUAUUCUAAUGAGUAUGCGCAUUAGGGUGAGCCUGUAUCUAUCGUUUUUUCCAGAGAAGAAUGAUAGUUAGGAAAAAGCUAAAUUAACCUAAAGAAAUGGAGUCAAAGUUCGAGUUCGAGAGAAAAGAACUUUAACACUAUUGUAAGUGAGAGUAAAACGUGUAACACUCUAGGACCGAGAGGAAUUGAGUGAAAAUUAUCUAAUUAGACUGAGAAGUAUCAGAUAUAUUUAGCUCGCCUGUAUUUUGUAGAGAUAAAUUGCUUGAAACUCAAAUACGGAAGAACAUUAGAUGCAACGUUAUGGGGAACACAAUCCUAGUUUCAUUUAAUUAUCGAAACAACUUUAGAAUUAAUAUUCUGUUAAUAUCUAAAUUAGUUCUUAGUUAACAACUUUGGUUACUAGAGCUUUAUAGCUAAACCCAUUUUACUUUCCGUAACUGUUUUCUUAGGAAAUAAUAAUGACAUUUGAGUAAAACGAGAUAGUGAAAUAAUUUUUGUAAAGAAAUUCUCUGUUGGAUUUAUUUUAGCUCACGUUGAGUUCUAUAAAUUGACUUCGACCAUUUAUACCUCUUAAUUGAGGUGCAAGUUUGGAUGUAUCACCGGUCCUUGAAGUAGCUCCUCUAGGUGCAGCCAUGUCUGGUAGAGCAACUGAAGAAGAUUGGGCCCUCUUGCCCUAUUUCCAUUUCCCUGCCUGUUCUUAGGACAUUCUUUCAUGAAGUGACCCUCUUGACCUCACUUGAAACAUCCAGUAGACCCAUCGCGACAAGCACUUGGGUGGUUCCUACCACACUUGGCACAUGUAGGAGCCCAAUUACCCUUUUUUGCCACACUACCAUGAGACCGAGCAGGUCUAGCUCUAAAAUUCUGCGAAUUCUGACUAUUAUACUCACCUUUGUUCCUUGGUGCAGGUGCACUAGCAGAUGAUGGAGCAGGUCCCUUUUGCUUUUGUUGAAAGGAAGACCGGUUCACAUUACUCCUUUCCUGCCCAGACUUAUUCCCUAUCUUAGCUUUCUUGUUUCUAAAAUUUUCACUAUCCCUCAGCUUCAAUUCCUCAACCUGCUGCACAUAAACCAUAACUCUCGCUAUGUCCAUGUCCCUAUUAGCAUCGCUACCCUUCCCUCCUUACUAGACAGACGAGACAACCCAGCAACAAACAGACUCAUCUUGCUCCUAAUAUCAGCAACCAUCUUCGGAGCAUAUCGGGAAAGUUGGGUGAACUUCAAACUAUACUUAUGAAUACUCAUAGAUUUCUGCUUAAGGGUAAGGAAUUCUCGUACCUUGGCUUCUCUCAGUUCACGAGGAAAGAAACGCUCCAAGAAGGCUUCCUCAAACCUAGCCCAACUCAAAAUCGGUGCACCCUCAACUCUACCCUUCUUCCACUAGUCCAACCAAGUCCUAGCAACACUCUUUAGUUGAUAUGCAGCUAGUUCCACUCGCUUAGCAUCAGCAACGUGCAUAACCUCAAACACCUUAUGCAGUUCCUCAAUAAAGUUUUACGGAUCCUCAAUAGUGCUUGAACCAGUGAAACUUGGAGGAUUCAUCCCUAGAAACUCAUGGAUCCUUGAAGCAUCAUUCACUUCAUGUCGGUUUUCUCUCUGUCCAGCUAGAUUGGUCAUGGCUUGACUAUACAUUCUGAUCGCUUCCCUGAACUCAGUAUUGGUGACCUCUCCUUGGGUCGCACUUCAGGUGUGUAGUUGGUACCCCUUGUUCCUCGACAUUCCUCCUAGCAUGACAACCUCUGACAGCUCUUCGUGGAGGCAUGAUCUGAAAGACAUGCGCAAGCACGAGUUCGAAGGAAACCUUAUAGAGAUUAACUAUAUCGCACAAAAUGAAUAUGAAAGAAGUGAGAUAGUUCCUAAAUGUUGUAGCCUCCUAAUUAUAGAUGUAGCGCGCUUCACACUGACAACUAGGACUCUACAGACAUAGCUUCAUAGACUCCCUAGGAAUCUUAAACUUUGUGCUCUGAUACUAAGUUUGUCACACCUCGAGCCUACACCUUGGGUGGGACUGGCACUUGAGAACCAUUUAUGGCCCCAAGCGAACCCUUGGCUUGGCUUACUACUCAGCGAAAGACUUUACUCAACAAAGAUAAAUCCAUGAAAUAAACUAGAAUGUUAAUAUUCAACUGGCCAUAAAGGCAAGCUCAAGUCUCAAUAUAACAGAAAGGAAAUGUAAAGACAAAUGAACUAACUAGCAGUCUAUGAAGCCUCAAAACUAUGAGGGAUGUCGGGACAAGACCCCCAAUCAUCCUAACAACUGAAAUACUAAAACAAUGUAAACAGAGAUCCUCCAGAAAGUAAGGAGUCAUGAAACGACUCUGAAUGCUCAACUGGAUCAACAAGGCGCUAGAUGUUGAUCUUGAUUACCUGUAUUUGCAUCAACAAUACAUAAGCUUGAACUGGAAUCUGAAAUAAACACUUACCUCAACUUUACUCAACUCAUGGAUACUCAACCUAAUACAGAAAUAAACAAUAGUAAAGGUGCAAUUUAUAUGAAGCAUUUAAAACAGUAGAUGACAACUCAAAGUAUUGUAAAAUACCAUAACAUCUUUGUUGUAUAUAAGAAUACAAAAACAAAUUUUGUUUGGGAGAUUCUCUAAUCGUAAACCAUCACUAUGAGCUACGUGAUGAUACAGCGUCUCGCUCACCCUGCCAGAACUGUCCUAUAACUUGACGGGAUAUAGAACGCCUCAACUAAGUGGAUCUACUGGUCUAUGCUAAAAACCAUUAAGGAAUCAUCUAAAAAGUAUGACCCUUUCUACCCACGUUGGCUACAUGGUUUAUGGAGACAUUAAGUUGUUAUGAACUCAUCCCCACGUUGGUGCUAAAUACUACUCCUAAAAUACUCAUCUCAUAUGUUUAAAAACAAAAACUCUUUCUGUGGUUUGAGAUAAUUACUGAAAAACUAGCUCAAAGGCUUUCUUGGAAAUUAGUGUUCCCUCUCUUGUUUAAAUGUGAAAACAUUUACUCUUUGGAAAUACUUAGUUCUCAUAUACUCUUUUUGAAGAACUAAACUUCAUUUGUUACUCUUACUUAACUCAAAACUCAAGUCUUAAAACAAGAUUAAAACAUCUGUAAAAGGCUUAUUGAAAGGACUCUAAGAACUUUCUAGACUUGGCUCUUAACUUUCCUUGAAUUUAAAUUUAUGGAUUCAAGGUUAUGAAUAUGAUUCAUGUUUAUGGAUGAUUUCUAUGUGUUUAGAAGUCAUUCAGAGUAGUUAUAAUCAAUAGGAAGUGUUAGUACACUUUAGAAGGACUCAAACGGGCUAAACGACGAAAAAUGGGUUGGGGCGGAUGACCCUGGCGCGCCGCACCAGCCCCAAAGUUCAGAGAGACAUUUCUGGCGCACUGCUGGCGCGCCGCCCCAGCCUUCUUGGCGCUACGGGGGCGCACCACGCCAGCAUCCCCCCAGUCAAAUCUGACAAAUUUUUCCUCUCGUUUUCAAACCUUUAUCCGAUUAAUUUUGAUUCUUUUUCUCAAUAUUUCUUUAGAUUCAGAUACCCAAAACAUGCACACAAAAAUCUAACUCAAAACAACUCUUGAAAUAGACAAAAAAUGUCUCAAGAAACUCAUCAAUCCCAUAUAAGUUCAAGAAUGAAAGCAAUUCAAGAACACAACUCAAGAACAUCAAAUCCUCAAUCUUUUAGGACAAAAAUUACACUAAAAUAAAUAUGUUUGGCACGUGGGUGAACAAACUCAACGCUAUGUGAACUCACAUACCUCGUAGGAUCAAAUCCUUGGCGAAAUCCGCAAUCAAUUCCUCAAGAAUCUAGAUCUUUUCUUCUUCUUUCUCCUCUUGAGUUCUUUCUCGAAAAACCCUAGCGUGAUUUUCAAUUGUGUAAACUGAACCAAUUCAGUUUAGACCCCAAUUUAAUUAUCAGAAGCGAAUUUAAUUAAUUGGGUAGUGAAAAGACCAUAGUACCCUUCUAAAAUCUGAUUUUGACUUUCCUUAUCUAGACAGCCCGACUUCAAAUGGGCAUAUCUUCCUCAUACGCACUCGAAAAUGAGAAAACUCGAUGGUGUUGGGAUGAUAAUUCAAAGAUAUUUCCUACGGUAUCUUGUAGUCCACCUAACUCAUCAUGUGCUAGGAGUUAUUGUAGUUUGAAGUUGACCUAAAACUCAUACUUAGCUUAACUUGUCAAACUUUUCAAAUUUGAUUAUUUCCAAAAACAGGUUCUUUCAAAUUCUAGCUCUUUCUAGUGCUUUCAAAUAGCGAAGUGUUACAGUUCUCCUCAAGUCUAGAUUAUUACUUCACAAAAUAUUAGCACUUAUUCUAAGAGAAAAAUCAUGCUUUUGACUUUAACUAUAUAUAAACGAAAUUUUAAAUAAAUUAGAACAACAAUAUCAUUUCAAAUCUUUCACUAAUUUAUUUAUUAAUCAAGGAUCAAUAAAUAUAAGAUGAAAAGAAAUAAAUAACUUUAAAAAAAUUGUAGGGCCGGAUUGUUGGGUUGUGCUACGUAUCUCCAAUCUUUUGAGAAUUCGAUUUUUGUUGCGGGGCGAUUGGUUUGUCGGAUCAGGGACCAGUGAAGAGUUAUAAAAUUGAUUUUGAGAAGAUGAAAGUGAAAAGAUUUUGGGAAAGUUAACUUUUCUUAUAAAGUGUAAGAAAAAGUUACACUUUAUAAAGUGAAAUUUUUUUUCGUUUUAUGUUAAAAUACAGACGUUAACAUACUAACGUUUGCAGUUUAUAUUUUCAGUAAAAUAGAAGAAAAAAUUACACUAAUCUAUUUUAAUUUCUUUCUAGAAUAAUGACUUAUUUUGAUUACUUUUCUCUCUGUAUAACUCAAAAAAUGUUCCGAACUCCUAAUGGAGCAUAUUAAAGUCUUCGGUGAUUCAAAUUUACGGUGCAACUGCCCCUAGGCAAAUGACGAAGUUGUGUAACAGAUAGAUUUCAAAUUUUUUUUAAAAAGGCGUCCCAAUCCAGCCCAUAGGUGGAGAAUUAUGUCAAAACCGUGUCACCUUACAUACGUGUCCAAAUUCCAUUGGUUGUCAUGCUCGAAAUGGCAAAUUGUGGGAAAUGUCUUUAGCACAUCAUAAUUAAAUUUUUCAGAGAAGUUACUCCAAACAUCUUUGUGUAGGUUAAAGGAGAUAUUUGUUAAAAUGUAUAUUAAUGGGCAUGUUCGUACGAACGAAAAUAUUUUGUAUAAUUUUUUUCGUGAAAAAUAAUUGAGUUUUUAUUUUAUUUGAUGUGUUUUAGUUUAUUUGCUCUAUUUUCCUUUUUAGUUCGUUAAAAAAAUAAUAUUUUUUGGUGAUUCUUUAAUCUCUACUUUUUAUGUGACAUGUUGAAAGACAAUAAAAUUAAAGAACAUUUUAGUAUUUAAAAUGGCAUGAUACAAAAAAUUUCUUUAAUUUCUUAAAUUCCGUGUCAAAUAUAAAUAGAACAAACAAAUUGAAACAAGGAGAGUAUUUAAUUUUAGCAUUUGACAAGUAAUUAAAAAUAUUGUCCUAAGAAUAUUUAUAUUUAAUUUAGCAAAACACUGUCGAAAUAAGAUAGGGUUUGGAACGGUGAUGAGACAAUGAACAUAAAUUGUCACGUAUGAAACUUAUUUAUUUCUUAUUUGUUUAGAAUUUCCUCAUAUCUUAAGAAGUAUUUUCUCAAAGAAAAUAAUUUUCAAAACAUUUUAACCAAUCCAAACAUAAAAUGAAGUAUUGUCACGUAUGAAACUUAUUUAUUUCUUAUUCGUUUAGAAUUUCCUCAUAUCUUAAGAAGUAUUUUCUCAAAGAAAAUAAUUUUCAAAACAUUUUAACCAAUCCAAACAUAAAAUGAAGUAUUGUCACGUAUGAAACUUAUUUAUUUCUUAUUCGUUUAGAAUUUCCUCAUAUCUUAAGAAGUAUUUUCUCAAAGAAAAUAAUUUUCAAAACAUUUUAACCAAUCCAAACAUAAAACGAAGCUAGAUGAUAGUGUUGAGAGCAGCCAAAAGUGGUAGAGACAAUCAUGUAAUGUGUGAUAGGGUGUAGGGCGUACCUAAGAUGUUAAUAUGCAAAGGGAAAACCCAUAUAAGCGAACGAAGGUUGCAGUUGUCAAAUUCAGAGCAAUGUCAUUCACUAUAUUUUCCCAUAGACAUGUAACGUGUUCGUCCAUACAUUGAGGAAAUAUUCACAAGGAUAAUGUUACUUCAUGGAUGAAACAAUGAACUACUGUUUCUACAUCUCUCAAGGAAUAGUGUACUGAGAUAGGAAAACAUCAAGGCACAGAAAUUUUGAGCUUCCUUCUCUCUACGUAAUAACUAAAAAUAUACAUCCAUCCUCAAGUUAUUCCCUGCUCCACUACGAAAGAUCACCUUCCAAUAUCCUCAUUUCAUUAAUAUCGACAUUCCUGCAUCCAUUCUCUAAACAUUGCCGGGAAGCUUCCAUCUUAUGACGUAGUAAACAAUCAAUCACCAUUCAAGUGUUUAAAUUGCUUCAGAAAAGUUUCCAGUCUGCAAUUAAAAAUUCAAGGAAUGGAGUGAAGAGGAAUUCUGGGACUACAUCCUGGAAAAUCACAUAUAAGGGGGCAGAGCAGAGUGUCUCAAAACCCCCCACCAGCCAUCCUUGACAAGAAAAGACGACCAGUGGAAGAACAAAACAAAAUGCAGUAUAAAGCUAGAUUACUACAGUAAAAUUUAAAAGAUGAGUAUGAAUGUCCAAAAACAGGUUAAGCUGAUUUCUACUUAUAAAACAGGUUUCUUAUGAGUACCUUAGUUCAUAGGUAUACUAAGGUUUCCUUCCAAAUUAACAGAAUACUUGUGACUUAAUCCAAGCAAAGACUUGAGCAACUUCAAUAUACAUCCAUUGUAACAUGUUCUAGACAGAUGGAUUGAAAAAAUCAUGACAAUGCUUAACAAUGAAACACUCUUAAAAAAGCCCACAUACUGUGAAGCUAUUUGUUGCUGGAAAAGAAAUAAGUCAAGAACCAUACGUGAGAUUAUCGCCUCAUACAGCUCCUCAGAGGUCACAUAUAAAUCUAAUGACCUACUGUACACUCAGUAAUCGCAACCAUAAAAAAAGGUUUUAUUCUCAAGUAGGUAAACAAAGUGCCCCACAUAUAGGAUUACAGUGGAUAUGUUGUUAUUGUUGUAGGUAAAACAAAAUGUGGACUUGUUAAAGGAAAAAAAAUUCAAGUACCAAGAACUGUUGAACCUUCCCUCCUUUAGAUUCACAAGAAAUAAUCCAUAAUUCCUUCCACAGAUUGUAUUUUCAAAACCAUACAUGUCUUACCUCUAAUCUGUAUGCUUAUAUGACUAUGCAAAUGCAACUCAAUACAACAACAACAUAUGAAGUUUGAUCCCAUAAAAAUGGGAUCUGGUGAGGGAGGGGUCUAGCAGACCUUGAGCCUACCGAGGGUAAGUUAGAGAGGUUACUUGGGAUAAGACCAUCGGUUUGAGAAAAGCAUUUUCAAAAUAGGUUUGAGAUAUGUUGAGAAAAUGUGAAGAAGAGUAAACUAUUGACAACAAAAAAUAGAGAUCCAAAGUAAAAAAGGAAUAGCAGCAGUAGUAAAAUGGAGGAAUGAUAAUACUAACACAAUAGUAGUGAGACUGUUAAUGGAAAGGGGAAGCGAAUAAAGUGUUUUAAACUAGCACCAAGCAAAUGCAACUCUAACAAUGAUAAUUUACCUUAACAGCUUACGAGUACAUGAUGAAAAGUCUUUCAUUUUAAAGCCUCAUUUACAUCCAGAGCGAACUUGCAAGAAUAAACAUAUUAAACACGAACUCAUUUUGACCUUGUGUCUAUUAGCGAUAUACUUCCAACUAUUUCUGCAUAAGCCAUGUGAAAAUAUCAAGCAAUACGGUGUCCUGAUCAUAAAAAAAGUGGUGUUACGCAAUUUGAUAUAUGCAAAAGAGAAUCCCAAGAAGCCAGGUCAAACUAAAAUACCAUGAAAUCCGCACGCAACUACUACUCUAAUAUACAUAAAGCCCUUAAACAGAAUUCUCACUACCAGAAGUAAUCCAAACCGUCUCCUGAUUGGAACCUUGAGUUGAAAUUGUACAAAUUUAACUAUGGUUGUAUUUGAUUAUUCACAUAGUACGUAAAUAUGCAUAAAAUUUGGAUCAUGCAGUAACUUGUGCAACUUUACAACAAGAAGAACAUACCCAAUGUAAUCCCACAAGUGGGUCUGAGGAGGAUAGUGUGUGUGCAAAACUUACCCUACCUUGUGAGGUAGAGAGGUUGUUUCUGAUAGACGGUCGGCUCAAGUAAAAGCAUUACAAAGCAGUGUGAAAAAAGAAAACAACCUAAACUUUUUGCUAAUUUAACAUAAUGCAAAUUCCUCAAAAGGAAAUUGAUAUUUUCACAGUACAGAAAAAAUACAAGAAGACUUUAAGGGACAAAGGUGCAAGCUCCAACUUAUCCAGAUAUCGAAAUUAAACAUUAGAAGGACUGGAAGAUAUUUCCGGUAAGAUUUACUGAGUUAAUUUGACUUCCAUUUUCUUCUACAAGGAAAUAUGUUGUAUCCAGUUCCAAAUAAUCGUUUACUACUGUCCAAGCCAAGCUCCUCGAUUAAUGUAUAAGUCAAAAAGUCUACAUCGUUCCCAUUUAAUUCAACUAUUAGAAGGACAUAAAAUAGGGUACUUAUCUGUUGAAACCACAAUAUGUGCAAACCUAGCUAACUGAACUCUGUCAACAAAAUUGUAAAGAGAUUGAAAUCUUACGGUGAAAAUCUUUUCUUGGUGAGGAGGGAGAAGAUAAAUGAGAGAAAAUAGCUCGUCCAAUCAUAGUCAAACUGUAAACAAUUCCAGCAACAUAAAAGAGCAUAAUCAAAGCAAGCACCCAUGGCAUCAUUAAAAAGCCAAUAAAGAAAGUGACGGAUCCACAAAGCAUCAAAGCAAAGGAUAUUCCCAAAAGCAGAGAUGCAAAUCCGGCCGGAGUAAUUUGGUGCAUCGACCCAGCGACAGCCAUCCUCCUCCCUGAAGAGGAUGGAGACAUUGAGGAAUCAUCGUAAAACUCAAUCGGCGCCGGUGGUGAUCGUAUAAUAUUUAAAAUCAAAGAAGAAAGUUGUUCUAAAACCUUAGAUUGUUGAUCCUGUUGCCUUCUCAUCAUAUUAGAAUGAAAAAAACAAGGCAAAUGGAUAAAGACGUGAGGUAGAAUUAUCUACCCAACAAUAUUAAAGCCUCUAUCUAGGCUUUUUGUUUGUUUUCCUUUUGCCCUGUUUGGAGAAUUCAAAAAUUAAAAUUUAUUGCAUAUAAGGGAGAGAGAGAGUUGCUUUAUGUUGAAGGUAUAGAUUUUUGAAAAAGUAGAGAAGAAGGAGAAGAUAAAGGAUUGCCCUAAAUUCGGUGUGUUGUACGCUGCUAUGGGCGAUUGUGAGGAUAACUUAUCUACAUUGACACUCCAUCACCAUACGUGCAUUCUAACAUUAUAUAUAUGAGCGUGUUUAUUGGUAAACAUCAAUUAUGAUGUGCUGACUCAACAUUACAAUACUAUUUUGUCCAAAACCAAAAAAGAAAAA
rnacentral:lncRNA from 1 species